CCCCCUCCCCCUUAGGUCGUGGAAAAUGGUAUCUCUUACGCAAUCUCGCUAGAGGGACAGAAGACAGGCUUCUACACUGAUCAACGCGAAAACCGCCGCUUCAUAUCCACCAUCUCCGCCGGCAAAAGAGUUCUUGAUCUGUGCUGCUAUAGUGGUGGAUUCGCACUUAAUGCCGCCAGAGGAGGUGCCACCACCGUCCUCGGUAUUGAUUCAUCUUUGCCUGCUUUGGAGCUCGCCAGAGAGAAUGUCAUCCUCAACCGUAUGGAUCCAGGGAACGUUGUUUUCUUCAAACAAGAUUCUACAGAGUUCAUGAAGGGCGCUCUGUCAAGGGAAGAGACAUGGGACAUUGUCAUCCUAGACCCUCCUAAGCUUGCUCCAAGGAAAAAGGUUGGCUUUGGACUUGUUUUGUUUUUCUUUUUCCUCUAUUGAUUUACAGGAAUAGUUAUUGAGGUUUUGAAUAUGCUCUGCUAGGUUUUACAUAACGCGGCAGGAAUGUACAGAAGUCUCAACUCGCUGGCGAUGAGAUUGACAAGCAGUGGAGGUUUGUUGAUGACAUGCUCAUGUUCAGGUGCCAUGACACAGAGCGGGAAGUUCUUGGGCAUUCUUCAGAGCGCUGCAGCUAUGGCGGGGAGGAAGAUCACUGUGGUUAGGGAGGCAGGAGCUGCUUCUGAUCAUCCUCUCGACCCAUCCUACCCUCAAGGCCAGUACCUCUCCAAUAUUCUGCUUCGGGUACUCUGAGUUUUCGUUUCAACAAAAAUCUCUGUAUUUUUUUUUUUUAGGUUGGUUUGGGACAAUAGUAAUUUAGUUUGAGCUUAUUUGGAACAAGAGUAAAUGUUAUACAUAUUUUUUGGAGUAUCAGCUCCACCGAAAGAACCAUUUUCACGUAUGUAUAGCAGCAUCCUAUUGUCUUUUUUACCUUAGUCUGCUCUUUCUUUAUUAACAUUGCAUGUUUCAUUAAGGGCAAUCAAGUAAUAUUAAUAACACAUUUAUAUUGGGUCAUUAUUUUCGGAUCUAGCCCACUAUCCACAUCAGAUCUUUCUUGGGCCAUUUGGACCGAUUAAGAAAUCAGAUCCAAUUCUCACAUUUUUUUUCCUUUGGGCCAUUGAGUCCAAGUUCAAAUAAUUUUUUUUUUCAACCAUUCUUAAUUAAUUUUUUUUUCUUUUCUUAAUAUAAUUUAAGCAUUCAUAAAAAAAAAUUGAUUUUUUCAUUGAAAAGUAUAAAUCUUUAUUAAAAGUAUAUAAUUAUUUUUAUUAAAUAUAUUAACCACAUAAUAAAAUUAAUUCAUCAGAGUUAUACCAACUUAAUUCAUUAAAAAAAUAAAGUUUAAUUUUUUAAACAUAAAUAGUCAUUUAAAAUGAAACACGAUAAAGAAAGAUAAAAAGUUUAAGUCUUUUAUAAAAUAAAACACAAAUAUAUGAAAUAUGACGCUAAAUAUUUGUCAAUUGAAAAAAAAAAGAAAAUAAAUCCGCGCUUUGAAAGCGCGGAUCAAAAUCUAGUUUUCUUUUAAAAGUGACGAACAAAUUUCAAAAAAUCAGAACAGUUUUAUUUGAGGAAAACCACUUCAAUCCAUUUCAUCCGAAAUUUUAGAAAGAAUGGGGUACCAACAACAAAAAAUAAGAAAAAUAACAAAAGAAUAAUAGUUAAAGUGUAAAAAAUUAUAAUUUCCGCAAAUGAAAUUAUUGUAUAGUUGAGGUAUGAUUGAACUAUACGUUACUGUUUACGAUAAUAAUUCAAUGAAUCAUGAGAUUUCCUUUUGUUCUAUCUUCCUCUGGUUAUAUAAAACAUAAUUGGCCACAGAAGAAUUAUCAAAAGAAACAGCUCCUCUUGGUAGCAUUUGAAGGUAAUCAUAAUUGUAUUUGAAUCAGAAUGUUUGAUAUUGGCAAGUGUCAAGACACUGCACAUCACACAUAUUUCGACUGUUUGUACAGCUUUGGUGAUAAAAGCUUAUAGCAACAAAGCAGUAUCGUUUGCUUAAUCUGAAAAGUUAAGGAGGUGGCUGAUCUGGGACUUGUGUAUGAAACAAGCUACUAAGGAGGAUUACUUGAAUAUGCAGUCCCCGCCCGGAGAAGCUAUCUUUAAAAAAUCAUUGGGUGAAAAGAAACAACACUGCCAUGUCUCAUCACCAUGACACAUCGCUGUUUAUCCCUUAUCUAAUGCACUUGUAUAUUUAGACUUGCGUAUUACAAACUACGUACAUGGUUGUCUCCUCUACCGUUCUGACCAUUUUGCAUAGAUUGUCAUGUGGUGAAAAGAGAGAAGACUUAAGUUUGAUGAUUUAUUAUGUUUUGCAUGGAUGCUUUAUUAUGCAUAGAUAUUACUGAAGUCGCGCACUGUGCAAAGCAAAAUGGCAAAUAAUUCAAGCAGAGAGACAUGGGGAGAAUCUAAACCACACUUUCAUGACAGUAUCAGAAACCUUUGCUUCUCACUUCUUUUGCUGAGCCUUGAGUUCUUUUACCCUCUCUUCCGUAGCUUUCAAUGCUUUCCCGUAGAUAUCAAUUAACUGCACGAAAUGAUAAGAGCCAAAUGAGGGAAACCAAGAAAAAAAGAUUUAACAGAUUAAUAAUGUCUCAAGAAUUGUAACCUAUACCUCAUCGAUCUCUUCAGGUGAGAUAAUAAGCGGUGGAGACAUCAUUAUGCCAUCACCUGCAACACGGACUAACAUACCGCGUUUCUGGCAUUCAGCUCCAAAGUAUGCGCCAACACCUGGAAGCAUCAGUUAAAUAUUAAUGUAGGGAUCUUAAUAAGGUGAUGAGUUUAGGAGAGGAGAGACACUUUUGUUUGGGUUAUUAGAUGGACUUUUUACCCCAUUCUGGUGGAAAUGGUUCGUUUGGAGAUUUGUUGUCUGUAAACUCAGUUCCCAGAAUCAAACCCGUUCCUCUUAUCUGAAAAAAAACAUCACAAAAAUGUUCAAUCAGAGACUUCAAUAGAUAAGCUGGUGAGUAAUCAACCAAUAAAGAGAAAUUAUACCUCUCCAAUAAUAGGACUGCUCUUGGCAAAAGCUUUAAGACCAUCUUGAAACCUUGGGGAAACUUUGGCGACAUGUUCUGGUAUGUUCCUCUCCCUGUCAUAUGAAUAUUGAGCGUCAAGAAAGUGCAGACAAGAAUAGAGAAACGAGAAUCAUAAUCACCAAUUUACUUGUAUAUCUUUAAAGCUUCAAUUGCUACAGCACACGAAACUGGAUGACCAGAGUAAGUAAAUCCAUGCGAGAAAGCACCUGAAAUAACCAAACCAAAAAUUGUUUCUUGAAGUAUCAGGACAUUGGAAUAUUACAAAGUUGAGCUUAACUAGCCAAUACCUAGCUUGUUGCUUUGAGAAUAUAUGACAUCUGCUACUUCUUGACUCAUAAGAAUGGCUCCAAUCGGCAUAUAAGCUGAAGAUAGUGCCUGCAUAUAUUAGAAACAUUUACCAAUUGUCCCGAGAAGUUUCUCAACAGUGAUCAGAAAUCUACAAAUUAUCUGACAAAAUCUCACCUUGGCUAAGGACACAAGAUCUGGCUUGAUGUUGUAUUUGUCACAUCCAAACAUUGUCCCCAGCCUUCCAAAUGCACAAAUCACCUUAAGAAAAGAUAUCAUUAUCCGUUUUAAUUAUGUUUGGUCUAUUUCUUCAUCGUGAUAGAAACAUGGUUCAAUAAGAUAAUGCAUAUACCUCAUCAGCAAUGAACAGGAUGUCAUACUUCUUAACAACAGCUUGAAUCUGCAGUACAGAAAUGAGAAAAAAAAAAAAAAGAACACAUCAUAUACACAAUUACCUAACCAUGAAACAAAUUAAUCAUUGGAAUUGGUAUUCACUGCCAACAAAGGUUCCGAAAAUGACCUUUUCAAAGUAUGUAGCAGGUGGAGGUAUCACACCGCCAGCACCCAUUACUGGUUCAGCGAUAAAAGCACCAAUCUGGUAAGAAGACAUUUCCGUUAGAUUGGAGCUGCCAACAUCAACGUUACUAAAUGAAGAACGUAAUUUCCUUAGAUUGCUCACAGUUUCUGGUCCCUCUUUAAUGAUAAGAUCCUCUAAAUUCUUGGCUAAUCUGGUUGAGAACUCCUCUUCCGUUUCCCCUGCACACAGAAUUAUCCAAGGUUAAAAUAAAAAGAUCACUCUUAAGCUUUUAGCAAAGCUUCCCUUUAACCAAUAAUGGAAUUUAGAAUCCUUCAUACCUGGAAGAUGAAAACGCCAGUAAUGAGGGCAAUCUGUGUGCAGCACAAACGGUGCAGGUAAAUCAAAGUUUUGAUGCAGCGCUGGGAGACUAUAAGAACAGAGGAUCAAGAUUGAUGCAUUUGUUAGACAAAUAUAAAGAGUCUAUAGCCUUUCUAAAGAGAAUAUCUGAGGAAUUAUAUUCAUCCUACCCGGACAAACUUGCUGAUAUUAAAGUGGAGCCAUGGUACCUGGAAUAAGCACUUUUGAGAUCUUAUAAAAAGCAGACAAGACACUAAAUGACAAGCAAGGAUCCUUUUCUCACGAUUUCUUUCUCGCGAUAAACUUUUUCUUCUCAGGCCUCCCAAGUGCAUUAUUGUAAUACCAAACCAGCUUGACCUGUAUCAUACAUACAUGAGAUUUAUAAGCUUCUAAACAAGGAGAUCAAGGUAGAUCAUAUAGUUUGGGGACCUCAAACCUGUGUAUCAUUGGCCUCUGAUCCACUGUUUGUAAAAAAUGCUUUGGCCAUUUUCUUGGCUGUGAACAUCUCUAAAAGAUCCUUAGCAAGAUCCUGUUUUCGCAGGAAAAAUAUAACACAACGAUCAAAUAUUACACAGCAGAAUGUACAAAAAAACAUUAUUAAUAAAAGAACACCAGAAGUAAAAAGUCUCACCAGAGAUGGCUUAGUAGUACGGUUCCAAAAGGAGUGAUAAAAGGGCAAGGUGUUCAACUGCCCUACAGCAGCAGAAACAAGCCGUGGCUCAUUUCCUCCUGCAAUAUUUUGAGGGGUGUCAAUGCUAACACUUUCACAAAUAUCCUAGGAAGAGCGAAAUAUACAAAAAGGAAAAAAGAGAAACAUCGAAGUCAAUAGUGUGGUAGCAUGCAGAAAGAACAAUACCUAAGGCUGUACACCAUAGACCAGCGAGAGAGUCAAGAUACUUCUUGCCAUGGUCAUCAUACACAUAGCUUCCCUGUAAGAAGAAUGAGAGUAAAAGAAAAAUGUCUUUUUUUUUUUUUUUUUUUGCUAAAAUUUGGAGAAAAAUGUCACACACUUGUUUGUAUCAACAUUGACAAUGUAUCAUCGUCUAUACAAAAGAAAAAAGAAGGGGGUGACCUCGGAUUUGGCAAUGAUCAAAGGAUCUAAAUCAGCACUCUGCCACCCAGCUGUAAAAGGUGCUAGCAUAUCAUGCCCUUUAGACCUGCCCAUCAGAAAACUCAUCCACUUAUUCAUCGCCACGUUGACAAAAGCAUGAAACUUUUACAGAAAAUAAUCACCAAACUUACCCAAGCUUCUCUGGUGAUGCUUCUGUAGUGAAGAUUCUCGAGCCAGGCAUGUAUUGCGAAGAAACAGCAUACCUGCUCUGCAAAGUAACCUGUCAUAUAAUAGAAAAGAGAGAUUUUUUUUAGCUAUCUAUCAAAAUCACUAUUUGAGUUAAUAUAUAGUAAAAUGGAUUCCUUGAAAUUCUUCAAGAUCACUGUUUGGGUAGUUUAUUAUUAUAAAAUUAAAAAAAAAAAAAAGGGGUUCCUUGAUUACUGGAGAAUCCCAAAAAGUUACACUCUCACAAAGUCAGUCACGUUUGAUGGGAAUAUUAUUUGAAAAUACGACUUGCAAAAAAAAGAAGAAGAAAGAAGUAAGAAAGAUUCAAUUUUUAAGCAUUUGAACAUGAAUCUGGACAGAAUCCUGAUCUACUACGGGUGACGAUGAAGCAGCUAAAAAGCAAUCAAAAGGAGCGAGUGAGAAAACCUGGGUAGUGCGCGCCAAUCGUCGGAGGCUGUUGACCACUGCCAUUUCGAAGAUAGAAUCUGUAGAAAUGAUCCUUUGAUUCUUUUGAGAUUGGUUCCCUUCUAAUAACAGAGGAGGAUCAUCAUCGUUGAUACACCUCCCUUGUAUGAAAACUCUACAAAAUUAAAUAUCUUUUUCUUACUUAUUUAUCUCUUCGAGUCCCAUUUGAUUUUGAGUUAAUUAGGUUAAAAUCCUAAAACAAUGUUGAAAUUGGCAAAAUACCCAAAACAAAAAUAUUGUGGGGGUUUGUUUUUCUCUGUGUCAAAGAAAAUUACUUUAGUGUCCCUAAACUAUGUUCAAGUCAAUUUAUAGACGCUCUCAGACGAUGUUCUCGAGGAGCUACAGAAGCUUUUUCCCAAUCCACCAUUUCACCACAUACUCAAAAUUUGAAUCUCGUAUUCCUCCUCCUCCUUUACCAUGUUCUUGACCAUGUCUGAGGCGGUGGAGCAUCUUGCCGGUGUUUUCUCUCUUACUUGUUGGUGAUGUCGUCGAACUUUUUUUUGGAUCUGAGAAACCAAAGACGCGCCUCCGCUCACUUGCUGCGCCUCCACCUCUGCUUCUUUGCAGCACAUUUGCGUCUCGUCAGCGCCUCCAUCUCUCUUCCGUGACUCUGUGCUUCUCUUCAGCACAUAUGAAGCACAAAAUAGUUCAAUGUCGGAAGCAAUGGUUAGUUGAUGUGCAGUUACAAUGGUUAUAAAAAUAGUUUGAAUUGUUUCUUGCUUUAUUGGCAUGAUAAUAAAUUGUUUAGACAGAAAAUAAAAUGUGAUCAAAUUUUUAAUGUAAUGAUUAAAUAUCAACUGUGGUGCGAAUAUUACUGUUUAAUGAGAAUACAUCCGUGUUUUAUGAUUAGGUGUUGUGGUGUCUAGCAAUCAAGACCAUGUCCUUCCUCUGGAUGCGAUCGCUAGAGGUGAUGCACCAUGCUUAAAACGUGGAGGUGGUGAGCACCAGACCAUGGAGAACAUAAACUCGGGGGAGAUGUAGACAACUGGUCGAGCGUCGUUGAAGCUAACUUUGGCAUGCAGAAAAGUGGAAAAAAUAUGUAGUGAAGUCAAAGGUUGGGGAGACAUCCUCGGAAGGCAGCAACACCCAUGGUGGGUGUUGAGUGGAGUCAACCAUUAAUGAUUGGGUCUUGUGUUAUACUAUGGAAGCUUAGGAUCUAUUUUCUAAAUGUCUACGAGUUUUUGUAAAACGGGUAACAUAAAAUUUAGCCGGGGUAGUAAGUUUUUGGAUGGUUAAAAUUUUGUGUACCCGUUUAUAGAAACAAUUAGCCUAAUGUAAGGAAGUUAACCUAAAUGAUAUGAAGAUCUAAUGUAAGGAAUUUAAAGUUUAGCCAGGAGUAAUAAAUUUUUGGAUGGAUAAAUUUUGAAUAACUGUUUGUAGAAACAAUUAGCCUAAUGUAAGGAAGUUAGCUUGUUUUAUAAUAUGAAACUAUAAUGUAAGAGCUUUUGUUUGUAUGCUUGGUGUGAAUUAAUCAGAAUUUGGUAAAUAAGCCCAUACGUAUAAACUGAGGCACAUGUGUAUCAUCUACCACCAUUUUUAUCUAUAAUACAUUUAUAAAGUGAUAUUAUCCAGCUAACAACAAGUAUACAAUCUAAUAAAUUAUGUAACCCUCUAUUACCUUUGGGUUGUUACAAUGCACCAAAAUAACCGUCUAACAUCACUUGUAUUACAAUUUUCUUAUUUAUAAUCCGUUUAAAUAAAAUGAUAUUCGUAUAUGUACUUAUUUUCCCAAUUAGCCGUAUACAUAAAAUAAUAUUUGGCUAGAAUUUGUAUUAUCUGGAAAAAUAUGUAAUUGUCUAUCCAACAAGAGCAAUAACUAUCAAAACAAUCACUUUUGUUAGAUUUCUUUUUAAUCUACUUUCUUCUUCAACCUCUUCACAACGUUUCGGCAAUGGAGGAUUCAAACCAAUUUCAUUUCUCUAAGAUACUUUGCUCUCGAUUUUAUUCACAGGAAAAAAAUUGAACACUUAUGUCACAAACUCUGUUUCUUCUCCAGCUACAUCUAUCUCCAGUCAAUUUCCACGAGCUUUCCGAAUUGAGACUCUUUAAUAAAAGCGACUUCGUGUUCAUCGAAGGCGUUUAGAAUUUUGUUUAUACACUGAGGGUUUGUGAUAAGGGGUAACCCUAACGCCAAGAGGUUCGUCGCCAAUGGCAAACAUCCUAUGAGGAAAUGGAGGAUGAGGGAUUACACCAGUGCUAGGAGCCAUAGAAAUCUUAGCUUUUGCUGGUGGUUAGGAAUGAGAGAACUAAGAAAUUGAUACUGUUAAUUGAUAAUGGAAACAACGAACAGACAAAAACCUGAUUAUAAAGGAGUAAGAAAGAGGUUUCCAGAUACGACAAUUUAAUUUUAUGGAGAAAAACUACGAAAAUAAUAUAAUAUGUCAAGUGGUAUGAGAGAGGAGCUUUAGUGUAUUGUUAUCAAAUAAAUAAGCAGACAAUAUAUAUCUUAUGAAAUAAGAAUAGGGGUAUAAUGGUCCAUGAUUUUUUGACAAAAACAAUGAAACACCUUCAUGUGUAUAUAGUUAAAUAUGGAAUAACUUGUGUGUGUAGAGCGCAAUUUCUCUAUAUUCUUUAUGGAGUGUAACCACCUUUAAAUUUAAUGAAAUUGUUGUGCUUGAUUUUUUAUCAGUGACGUGUCAUUGACUCAUUUUAUUACAUUUAUAUUUUAGUUUCUUUUCAUUUUACCAUAUCAAAUCGCACCAACUACGCCAGCUAGUUUUUUUAUUUAAUUACAAAGUUGAUUACAUCCUAUUAAAUUAAAGUUAGUAGGAACAAAAUAAUUAUGUCUCUGUGAAUAUUUUUAGUAUAAAAAAACAUUAAAAAAAAACAUAUCGUGGUAAGAGAUCGAUGAUAGAAUCAUUUUCAGUACUGCUAAAUUGUUGGGUUUCCAUUUUGGUGAUUGGUUACCGUAUACUUUUUUUUGGGUCUAAAGGUUACCGCCUUACCGUAUACUUGUUUUACCUAUUGCAGGCUUUGCAGCUACAGGUUAUGGCCGAUUAUUAUUGUCGAGAUAGACAUCUUCGUUGAUAUGUUCAUUUUGUUUUUCCAUUUAAUAACUUGAAUCAUAUAGUAACUCAACGCUACAAACCAAGCACAAAGUUUUAAAUCAUUAGGUUUAUAUAUAUGUUUAUCGAUGCAUGAAACAAUAGAGAGAAAACGAUCCGUGUCACAAAAAUUACAAAUCAGUCACAUCCAUGUCGUAGAUGAGAAUGACAAGACAGUCACAUAAGAUAAGAAACUUUUUUUGUCUUCUCAUUCAAAUAAAAAUAUUUUAAAACUUAUUUAGUAUACAGAAAAAGAAUUAAGAAACUAAACUGUGUGGCGUUUUACAGCUUAACAAACGCUGAGAAGUUCAGGUUACAAGGCGCAAUUUAGCACCCUGACGGCGUGCAAUCUAUCCAUCAUUCAUUCGUAUCUGAGUAGAGGGAAACGAAACGAUAAAUCAAUUUCUAGCAAGUCAAUUCCUAUCUGUCAAUCUUCUUCGCAUUUUAGAGGGAGAAAAUGAGACUCUUUAGAGAGAGAGAGAGAGAAAAAGUAGGCAAGAAAGACGGUCACUGACUAAAUAAAAGAUCACUCACUCACACACCCUUUCAAGAGAUCUCAUCGCCCGAUCUUUCCUUCCUUCCUUCCUUCCCCGCCGGUAAAGUUUCUUAACUUUGCUUCUUCUCUCGUGUCUCUUCGUUUCUCAAUUUGAGAAUUUACUGCAAAGUUUCCUUAUUUAUUACAAUACAGAGUUGCUGAUUAAAAGUAUUCAUCAAUAAAGUUUUGGUUUUAAUUUUGAGAUCCUAACAUUGUCCGAAGAAUCUAGCUACUCAAUUGAGUUUCCUUACUUGUGUAUCUAUUGCUGCUUCAACCCAAAAAAGGAAAGUUUGUUUAUUUCUGAAUAAUUCAGCUGCUAAAUGCAAUUCUGCAGGUAGCUCUUAACUUGCUUAAGAUACAAUGGGUGCUUCUGGGAGAUGGAUUAAAGCAUUGGUUGGUUUCACCAAGUCUGAUAAGUCAAAGUCUAAAAAGAAGGAUGAUAAUGUAUGCUCUUUCAUUACCUAUAGAAUCUAUUUAUCUAAAUGCCAAUUGCUGGUUAGAGAUGUAUACUUUCUUCAUUAUAUGUUUGUUCAAUUGGCGAAGGUGAAGACUGCAACCAAGAGCCGGUCUGGGAGAAACCAUUCUGUUGAUUUUGAUGCUGAAAAGUUUCAACUUGGAUUUGAAGAUUCCAAUACGCAUAGCAGCAUGUUAGAUAAUGGGGUCUCCACUUCAACUUCUUAUGGUGCUGCUAAUGAAGAACAAAGGAAGGAGCAUAUGGCUGCAACUCGGAUUCAAACAGCUUUUCGAGGAUUCCUGGUAUCAUUAUCACUUUCUUCGCCCUGUUAACUUUUUUUUUAAUAUUUGUCUCAAGCGUUACUGAGAGAGAAAGAUGAUACCUUUUUUCUCAGGCUAGAAGGGCUUUACGAGCAUUGAAGGGAUUGGUUAGACUUCAGGCCCUUGUUAGAGGACACGCGGUGAGAAAGCAAGCUGCUGUAACGCUUCGAUGCAUGCAAGCGUUAGUAAGAGUUCAGGCUCGUGUUCGCGCAAGACGUGUUCGUCUCGCCUUGGAAAGUGAAACGGGUCCGCAGAUUCUUCAGCAACAGCUUGCAGAUGAAGCCAGGGUUCGAGAAAUAGAGGUGUGAUGAUCACUUGUCUCAGUUAUUUACUUUUUUUAAAAAAUCUUUUGCAAAGAUAACUAUAGUCAUGUUGACUAUGUGUUAUCAUUUUUCAGGAAGGUUGGUGUUAUAGCAUUGGUUCUGUUGAACAAAUCCAAGCCAAGAUACUAAAGAGGCAGGAAGCUGCAGCUAAGCGUGAGAGGGCUAUGGCAUACGCUUUGACUCACCAGGUUACUCACAACCUAUGUGCUUGUUUAGAAGUAAAUUGUUUGAAUUUUCUCACUUUGUACUAAUCAUAACAUUCCAUAAUAGUCUAUCUGAUCGUCUUCUAUAAGAUCAAUCUUUCACAAAACACUAUGAUAGCAAAAGGAUAUUUGUUUCUCUUCUCUUACAUAUAAAUUUGGUAUGUUGUAGUGGCAAGCAGGAACUCGGCAGUUAUCUGCGCACAGUGGUUUUCAGCCUGACAAAAACAACUGGGGAUGGAACUGGCUAGAAAGAUGGAUGGCUGUUCGUCCAUGGGAGAAUCGGUAUCUUGACAGCAACCUCAGGGACGAUGCCAUAUUAGCUGAAAACAAUAUGGAGCAGUCUGAGAAUGUUGUGCAUAAAACUCAGAUGAAGAUUGCAAGCAAGAUUCCAAACACUUCAAAUCUUGCGUCCGGUGUUUCAAGUCAGAAGGUAACCGGGCCAUCUCUGUCAGAUGGUAAUUCGUCUUCACCUGGAAUAUCUUCAAGCAUGCCGGUGCCAGUGGUGUCCAAGGAUAGGUCAAAGCUCGCUAAAGACGAUCUUGCUGUAGAAGUUGUUAACUCAAGACCUGGUGCUGGUCCAAGAUCACACAGCAAUCCAAAAGAAAGAUCAAGAGCGCCAGAUAAAGCUUCUAAGGAGCGGUUAUCUCUGCCAAACAGUGGUCCGAUCUCUUUCUCUAACCCCUAGGAUUCGUUCCUCUUUUCUUUUUUGCCCUUUUUGAUGGUUGAGUGAAUAGUCUUAUCAACAUGGUGAUAGUGAUAAGAAAAUCAGCUUUGUAUUAGUCAUAAAGAUACAGACCACAACUUAGAUAUUAGGAUAGCUAGGUGUCGUCAGUGGAGACUUUGACCAUGCCUCAAUCGAUCUGUAUACGUCUAAGAAGCAAUACAUUUGAUCUUUGAAACAUUUAGGCUGUCUUUUGACCUUUUUUUUUCCUUUUUAAGGCUAAAACUGUGAACAUUCGUUCUUGAGCAGGAAAAUCCUUGGGACCUCAGUCAGCUAAAGCCAAAUCUUCCCAAAACCAGAAAAGACGCAACCCCGAUCCAAUAAAACAGAGGCUUGCAUAGCCCUGGCUAGAGUCUCUGAGAAUCGUCAGUCCAUCUAUCACUCCCAUCGUUCCUGUACAUACACAGCUUCUGAAAAUGGAAACAAAAAAAAAAAAGAGAAAAAGAGGAUAUCAUGUGAGAAUACAAUGGGUUACAUUCAGACUUGCUUGGUGGUACAUUGAUCAGAAGAGAACACCAUCGUCUUGGCGUCUUUCUGCUUUCAUUGUUGUUUGUUAUUUACGUGUCAGCCAUCCUUUUUUGUCCAUGAUUCUUAAAUGGAUUGGUAAGUAAUAUUAUUAUUAUUCAAGUAAAGUUGUUUGGGGUAUAUCUUGUGAGACAGUUUUAUGUUGGGAGGACGGACCAUGCUUCUCAUGGCCUUCCCAAUGUGAUAUAUAUAGUGUGUUGUAUUUGGUAUAUGUUCGAAUGUUUCAGAGUGAUGAUAUUAUCAUGAUAAGGUAUCACUUGGCUUGUCAUCUUUUCGAAACGGGAAAGUGAUUUAAUUAAAGUGCAGCGAAGGAAAUGUCAACAAGUGAAUGGAUCAUGAAAGAAAAAGCCCUAAACAUCAACAAAAAGUAUUCCCUGUGAAAGUUUUCUAAGCAAGCCAACAUGCAAUAGAAUUAUAGAAGAUAGCUAGAGGCUUGUAGCAAUAUUUGUAGGAACAAAGUCCACUCUUUGAGCAUCUCCUACAUAAUCUUCCACACUAUAGUUGUCUGUCUGCUAUGGUACAACUCCUGGAGGCGAGUGCAACUGACUUGCUAGUUUCAUCGAUUUUUUGGACAUAUCUCUGCCCGAUAUCAAGUAUUGACAUGAUUCUUGGAUCCACAGGACCACACAGAACAAAAGACGAAGAGCCCUCAAACACAUGAUACAUUAUCAGAGAUGAUCAUAAGCUAUGGAACCUGAAACUCGUGUUGAAUUUGCAAACAUCCAUGUGUGUUGUGGUAUUUGGUUAGAUGGUUUUAUCCUAAGAUUUCAAGUUGCUAAACCUCAUAUGUAUCUCUUACUAGAUUUGGAAGUACACACUGUUUGAAUAAGCAUUAUAAACAUAACACCGGAGAGUAAAGGCAGAUCAAAAUGUUUUCCCAAAAGCAUAGUAAGCGACCACCACCAACAGGCAAAACACUUCAUUAUUACAUUAGGACUAAUUCUGAUAAACAAAUUAGCUACUGAUAUACUCCCUCUGUUUUAUAUUGUAAGCAGUUUUAGCAAAAAAUGUUUGUUUCACAAUAUAAGUAGUUUUCAUAUUUCAAUGCACAUUUUCUUUUUGUUGGAUAUUGUGUAACCAAUCAAAUAAUGCUAGUUUUUUUAUAAUAGGUUGAGUUUAUUAAUUAAAUACUAUUUUUUACAAAAGCAACAAUUUCUUAAUAUUAGUGCUUUUAACUAAAACUACUUACAAUAUGGAACAAAGGGAGUAUGUUUUAGCAUAGUUUCGAUUUGUUUUUCAUAAAAAUUAAUGUAAUUCUCCGAAAUAGCAGAUUUUGAAAAUUACACAUACACAGAUUUACAAGCCUAUUAGAAAUUUUCUACCACAAUGAAUUUUACACACACACAUAUUCACACUGGGUUAGUCAUGAAUCUGAAAGAAGAGUUGAAACCUUCUGUUAUACAACCUAAAUACCACUAUAUGAUAUCUUUUUUUUUGUCAUCUGAUAAUAUUAUAAAGGAUAAAGCCCAAGCUAUACAACACAAAAGGCCCAAAAGCCAAGCCAAACGAAAACAAAGAAAAAACAAGAGGCUCCAGAGGACCCAACCACAAAAUAGCCUAAGUGAGAAAUGGAGUUCGAGUCAACCUCAACACACGUCUUACGGAAGAGAGAUAGAGGGGCACGUGGAAGCACAAUCGACACCCGUCACCAACGACCGGAAAAUCUUCACCGGAGCAGCUCACCGACAGUCCACCGGAACACACCAGAGCAGGACAUAGAUGAGGAGAAGCUGUCGGACGACUUUAGCAAUUAAGAGGCCACACCGACAAAGGCUAAAACGCCGGAGCCUGACUAACAAGAUCACAUCAAAUCGGCCCAAUCCGAGAACAUAUCCGAAAAACAAAGCCACCAAAGACGUCAAAGUCCAUGCCAAAAGAUCUCUGCUUCAUCAAUCGACAACCACGCUUCCAAUAACGAUGUUCCUGCAAGAAUCACGAGGCACCUUUGAUGAUAGAAGGAAGCUUGAAGAUGCAACAACUCUACCCGAGAGAAGGAAAGAUCAAGCGGAAAUUGGAACAAAGGCGACUGCGCAGCGGAAGUCGAGACGUCAGAGAUCGAACCAGACCGGGAAAGGAUCCCGGAGAGAAGCCGUCGUCAUCACCGGAGAAGUAAGUGAGACGCCGGAGCCAAGAGCCAGUGGGAACGUCAGAGAAGAAUGCCUACCACCGGAGCCAAAAGCCGACCAGUCUGUUCUAACCCCUGUUCCGAACUAUGCUAGGCGCUAGUCGGGCGGCUACUCCGGACCUAGCGAGUUACCAAAAAAUCGGGGAGUAAUCGGGGUAUACGCGGAGCCUAGUUUUUAAUACGAUUUAAUAUAUUUAUAAUAUGUUUAAGUACCAAAUAUAUGUUUUAAUACAUGCUUAUAUAACUUUUACAGAAUAACAUUGUUUUUCCAGUAUACAUUUGGUUCAAAAGUCACAAAAAGAAACUUCCAAUUCAUGAGAUAAACAAAAAAAAAAACAGAAUGUUUUGAUCUUGAAAACACAAACUACAAUAAAAGAUUGCAAGUCUUCAUCCUUUUUGUCUUCAGGUCAAAUAAGUAAUCACCAUGAAUUGGGAAGAUGGGUUAGGAAUUAGAUCUUGCAGCAUACACCUGCAAUAGUUUGGACAAUACGAUCAAACUUGCAAUUAAACCAUGGCAAAUAAAAAGACAUACAAUAACCAAUACCUAUAAACCAGAGCAUAUAAAGAGAGACAUCAUGUUAGAUACAAACACUUGACUGACCAUCAAUAACAAAUUAAAAUCAAAUUUCUCAGAAGUUCAUUAACAAAAAAACUAUACUCAUGUAUAUUAUAUGCGAUGUAUGAUUCUUCGUGUGAACAAGAACUACAAUGUAUGAGUCUUCGAUACUUUGAUGACAGGAAACAUUAGUCUUCUAUGUUUUGAUAACAUAAAAAAACGUGAACAGAAAGAAGAUAAAAACAAACAAGUACGUUGAAUCCAGACAAAGAAUUAAAAUCAGUUUCACACAAACACAAGCAAGCAAAACGAAGAAGCAAAAGAAAAAAGAUUAUUACCUUGAAUUCGCGAACAGAGAACAGUUGGCCCACAAUUUUGUCUUGAACUAGGCGGCCGCAUUUCAGAUUUACGUGGAUGUUGUGCGGUCCACCGAUUUGAGUCACCGAAUUGCCUCAGCUCCGAGUCGCGCCUAAGCGUCCGCGUUUUCGAACAGGGGUUCUAACUAAGCAACAGAUGUCAGAACCUCAUCCCCUACAGAGGGGACAUAUCGCCGGACACAACCGCCGAACGACCAUCGAGUCGGACUCUCUCUCUGAAAGAUACAAAGAGAGUUAAGAGAGAGCCCCCUUUCUUUUGAUUUUGGUUUGACCACUAUAUGAUAUCUUUUUUUUUGAACACCUAAAACAAAUCCACUAUAUGAUAUCUAAAGUAUACAAAAUAAAUAAAUAGAUAUUAUUGCAAAUAAAAAACAAAAGCUAAAAUAUCGAACAAGUACAAUCUUUAAUCGUUAGUGGACCAGCCAUAUAAAAGCCUAACUCUAGAACUAGAAGAGGCCUACUUUAUAUAUGUAUAUUCAUAAUGCCAUUAGUCACGCUUCAUCUAAAAUUACCAAGUCAGUAUUGGCACGCGCAACGCGUGCGCAGUGGAGAAGAUAUGGAACACACACACACGCAUUUUUUUAAACGGAGAGAGAGAGACAGAGACAUACAGAGAGAAACCCUAGACACCAAAGAAAAAAGAAAAAAAAGGAAUCGUGCCUCCUCCUCCUCCGCCCACUCGCCCCCUCAGAUCGCGUGAACAUCACAAACCAUUUUCUCUCCUCCUUCCCUCUCUCUCUAUCAUCCAUCUCCCCCCUUCCGCAGAUCGAAACGCCAACUCGCACCGAUUGGCGCGUGGCUCCUCCUGGCGACGAGAUUACAGCUUAUUGCUUUCGAUUCACCUCUCUGCUCGUCUUCGUUACAGGUGAUUCCAUCUCAUCUUCGUUACAGUGAAAAAACGACCACGGAUUCUAUAUAUACAUUGAGAAUUUCCGAUUAAUCGUGUUGCAGGAAGUCAUGGACAUAGAUCUUCGACUACAUUCAGGCGACCUCUGCAAAGAAGGCGACGAUGAAGAACACAGAGGACUUGACAACGAAGACAUAGACAUUAGCAAAGUCGAGGAUGACGUCACCGUCGAGGUACACACCGAUAACAACAGCACUGCAGCAGGCAUCACUCUUCCAGAGCACAACACACAACAACAAGGCGUGAACCUUGAACCGCUUAACGGCAUGGAGUUCAACUCGCACGGCGAAGCGUAUACCUUCUACCAAGAGUACUCUCGAACCAUCGGCUUCAACACUGCGAUACAGAACAGUCGCAGGUCGAAAACCACGAGAGAGUUUAUCGACGCCAAGUUCGCUUGCUCUAGGUACGGUACUAAACGGGAGUACGACAAGUCUUUCAACCGGCCGAGAGCUAGGCAGAGCAAGCAGGAUCAUCCUGAAAACAACAUGUCUGGUCGGAGGACGUGUGCCAAGACUGAUUGUAAAGCGAGUAUGCACGUUAAGAGGAAGCCUGAUGGGAAGUGGGUGAUUCACAGCUUUGUGAGGGAUCAUAACCACGACCUUUUGCCUGCUCAAGCUGUGAGCGAGCAGACGAGGAAGAUCUACGCUGCGAUGGCUAAGCAGUUCGCUGAGUACAAGACUGUCAUCAGCUUGAAGAGUGAGUCCAAAACUUCUUUUGAGAAAGGUCGGAGUUUGUCUGUGGAGACUGGGGAUUUCAAGGUUCUCCUUGAGUUCUUGUCGCGGAUGCAGAUUCUGAACUCCAACUUCUUUUACGCGGUAGAUCUUGGUGAUGAUCACAGGGUGAAGAAUGUGUUUUGGGUUGAUGCCAAGAGCAGGGUUAACUAUGGCAGUUUUUGUGAUGUUGUUUCUCUUGAUACUACCUAUGUGAGAAACAAGUACAAGAUGCCACUUGCUAUUUUUGUUGGUGUGAACCAGCAUUACCAGUAUAUGGUCCUUGGGUGUGCUUUACUAUCUGACGAGAGCGCAGCUACAUUCUCUUGGCUAAUGGAGACCUGGCUGAGAGCGAUGGGUGGACAAGCUCCGAAGGUUUUGAUCACUGAGCAAGAUCCUCUGUUGAACUCCAUUGUCCCUGAGGUCUUCCCCAAUACACAGCAUUGCCUUUUCCUUUGGCAUGUCUUGAUUAAGGUCUCUGAGAAUCUUGGUCAAGUCGCUAAGCAACAUGAGAAUUUUACAGCGAAGUUUGAGAAGUGCAUCUAUAAAUCAUGGAAGGAGGAAGACUUUGCGAGGAGAUGGUGGAAGAUUCUUGCUAGAUUCGGUCUCAAAGACGAUCAAUGGAUGCAGUCUUUAUAUGAAGACCGAAGGAAAUGGGCACCGACCUACAUGACCGAUGUUCUUUUGGCAGGGAUGUCUACGUCUCUUAGAGCUGACAGUGUUAAUGCUUUCUUCGACAAGUACUUGCACAAGAAGACGAGCGUACAGGAGUUUGUGAAACUGUAUGAUACGAUUUUGCAAGAUAGAUUUGAAGAAGAAGCCAAAGCUGAUUCGGAAACAUGGAACAAGCCACCAACGAUGAAGUCCCCAUCGCCAUUUGAGAAGAGUGUUUCCGACGUCUAUACUCCUGCUGUAUUCAAAAAGUUCCAGAUCGAAGUUUUGGGUGCAAUCGCGUGUAGUCCCAGGGAGGAGAACCGAGAUGCUACGUGCUCUGCUUUUAGAGUUCAGGAUUUUGAAAACAACCAGGACUUCGUGGUUUCAUGGAGCCAAGCAAAGGCUGAAGUCUCUUGCAUGUGUCGGUUAUUUGAGUAUAAAGGCUAUCUAUGCAGACACACGCUUAACGUUCUCCAGUGUUGUCAUCUUUCUUCCAUCCCCUCUCAGUACAUAUUGAAACGGUGGACCAAAGAUGCAAGAAGCCAGCAUUGUCCAGGAGAACCUCAGCAGUUGCAGACGAGGCUCCAGAGGUAUAAUGAUUUGUGCCAGAGAGCUUUAAAGCUGAGUGAAGAGGCAUCCAUCUCUCAAGAGAGUUACAAUAUUGCCUUCCCUGCUAUUGAAGAAGCUUUGGGGAACUGUGCUGGUGUUAAUACUUCCGGCAGAAGUCUUCCAGAUGUGGUCGCUUCGCCAACACAAGGUCUGAUAUCCGUCGAGGAGGAUAAUCAGAGCAGAAGUGCAGUCAAGACGACGAGCAAGAAAAAGAAUCCAACUAAGAAAAGAAAAGUAAACUUCUUGUUCAUGAUCUCUCUGUACAUGCACAACUUAAGGUUUUUCUUAGCUUUGCGCUUUUAUGAAUUGCAAGUCUUAUGAUCCUGACUGACUAUGGAUUGCAGGUGAACUCAGAGCAGGAGGUAAUUCCAGUUGCAGCGCCAGAAAGCUUGCAACAGAUGGUCUGUCUUUGUUAUUAACAUGUAGUAGAAAGACUCUGUUAAACUAGAGAGAGUCCCCUAAGUAUAUGAUAUCUGAAUUUUGUAAUUUGCAGGAUAAGUUAAGUCCAAGGACAGUUGGCUUAGAAAGUUAUUAUGGAACACAGCAAAGCGUGCAAAAUCUGGUAACUAAGCACAAAUUACUUGUUAAUAUUCUCUUAUAGACUGAGAUUUUUGUUUGUAAUGUGGUCUGAUUAUAUGUGUGUUUACAGGUCCAGCUGAACUUAAUGGCGCCAAAUCGCGAUAACUUUUAUGGGAAUCAACAAACAAUCCAAGGAUUGGUAUGGAAAUUUCCACCAUCAACACCUAUCUGUAACUAAGCUUCUGUUGUUUUUUUCUAUCAUUUAACUUUGGAUAAAAACAAAAAAAUCCCCGGCUGGUUUUCUGUAGCGACAGUUGAACUCAAUAGCACCAAGCUACGACAGUUACUACACUGCUCAGCAAGGCAUCCAUGGACAGGUACCUUACCUUAUUCUCAGACUCAGAGCUUUUACUUGAUUGCAAAACCUAUUCAAAAAAUGAUCACUCUUUACUUUUGUUCUUUCUAGGGAGUAGAUUUCUUCCGUCCUCCCAACUUUACUUACGAUAUCCGGGUAAAUUUUCAGUUCUAGUAACAUAUUUGCAUCUCUAGUGGUGAAUUUUUGUUCAUGGAAACAAUUGUUUAUUACUGUACAGGAUGAUCCUAAUGUGAGGACGACACAGUUGCAUGAGGACGCGUCUAGACACACUUAAACCAGGCUAAAACCUAACCAAGGUUCAAAUCUUAAAGAGCGUCCGUCCCUCUGUAGACAAAAAGCCAACAAGCACUUGGAAGAUGAAGCUCAUUUCUCGAUCAGGUUUUGGAAACAGAACAAGGAGCAUUUCUUGUUUUAUCGGCUCAAGUGUUUAAAUAGGAUAUGGUGUAUUGUUUCGGUUAUAAAGAUACCGCUUCUGUUAAUAUUUGGUCGUGUGUGUAUUAGUUCUUGAUGAUCCCCAAAAAGCUUUUGAUCAUUGAUUGUUCGAAUUUAGAGGAGGGGGAAACAUUUGUUUAGAAGAUAUUUAUCUAUUUAUAAACUCUUGUUAAUUCUUUUGAUCAAGUUUCUUAUAAUUGCAUCAGAUUAUUCCCUGAUCUUAAGCCACAAUAUGGUCUGUUGUUUUGCUCUUUGAUCCUCGUACAAUAUCUAAGACAAUCUUCAACCUAUUUCUAUUCUUUUUAUACUUUUCUUCUAGAAUAAAAGAAAUUAUUAUAGAUGUAGAUUUACUCUAAUAUAUGCUUCUAAAAUAGAGUUUUUUUUUUUUUUUCAAAACAAAAUAUAAAAAAAUAUUAUUUUCAUCUAUAUAAAACUACUAUUGUUUUAUAUUUUACUCUGUAAAUAGAGAAAUUCUAUUAUAACGUUAUACAUCGGAGAGAUCAUCACCUUAGAAGAGAUGACGAGAAAAUGGUUUAAGCUCGAUCAUCACAUUCUUUUAUUCAUUUUCGUUGAAUAGACAUACAUAGCAUCUGUAAAUAGUUUCAAGUUUCAUCAAUAAAUUUGAUAUUCAAUUAAAAAAAGAAGUUAUACAUUGGAAUAAUAUCACCAUUAUAAUAGAGUUUUCUAUUUUGCGAGAAAAUGUAAAAAUAUAUCGGUGAUGCUCUUAUAACGUGCUCAUAUGAGCAGUGUGAUGAGUGUUUUGCCCAGAAACUAAAAAAUUGAAACACAGAAAAACAUACAUUCCAAAAACUAAAAAAUUGAAAAUAUAAAUUUUGAUUCACAUAUUAGAUUUAGUAAUCAUUCAACAUUGUAAAUUCUGUGGUUUUCUAAACUGAUUUAAUGAACAACACUCCUAAACAAAUAAUGAUUCAUUGUCACUUAUUCAACUCAGUCUCAAGCUGAUGUUUACAAGAUUUUAGCCCCCCCCUAAAGUAUAUAUUAUAUGUGUGAAUUGAUGCAAAGUUCUAACAAAAGAGAACGAUGAUGUAGUUCCCCAUAUUACAUAUCACACGUCAGGAUUAGAUUAUGGUUUUGUUUGAAAAUUCUCACUAGUUUCAUGUCUGAUCUUUGGUCGUAACUUGAUUUACAUUCAUUCCAAGUCACCUACCCCCGUCAAUUAAUUUAUGCCCACUCAUUCCUUAAUCAACUGCGUAAAUAAUAUGUACACCUAUGGUCCUAUCAAUUAUCAAAACACUAGUGUCUUGAGUAUCAUAUACGAAAGUUGUUUCUUUAUUUAGUUGCUCUUUUUUAUUGGAUAAUCGACUAAUCGUUUUCGCUAAUUAAAACAGCCUAUAGGCUUCUCAUUACGCUAUGGAUUUGAACAACAUUGUCGGCAUAUUAUAAUCCUAUUACGUCUAACCUAUUUUAAAAAAUGAUAUAGUACUAUACUAUAUAACAAAAUCUCGUCGUUAUUAUCAUUAUCGUACAUCCGUCGUUAUUCAUUCGUGCUAUAUAAUACGGCUAUCGCACCAAGCAGGCAACGUGAUAUGAAAUAUAUUAACAUUUUGGUUAGGAAUAACGUAACAGAAAAAUAUGUCGUCAGCUAUGUGACGAUUAUGUAAAGUGAGGCACUUAUUUACUAAUUUAAUGAAAGAAUAUACACAGUAAAUUAGGCAAAUUUCGUCAACUUGUUGGGAAAGUAGCCAACCAACCCAAUACAAAACUAAAUUCUACUAGUUAGUUUCUUGGUAAAAACUCAACUAAUUGUAACUUUAAGCUGUUUUAUUAUUGGGCAAAUCUCCAAAAUAUCACAUUUUUAAUUUUAUGUCACAAAAAUAGUCUUCAAAAACUAAAAUGAUCAGAAUAGCAUUUUAUAUUUUGAAAAAACUAAUUUUUUUUAUUUUUCAAAAUUUAAAAUCUUAUUCCAAAACCCCACUCCCCAACUCUAAACCCUAAACCCUAAACCCUAAAUCGUAAACCCUAAACCCUAAAACCUAAACCCCACCCCUUAACUCUAAACCCUAAGCCCUAAACCCCACCCCUAAACUCUAAACCCUAAACUUUAAACCCUAAAUCCUAAACUCUAAAUCCUAAACCCCACCCCAUAACUCUAAACCCUAAUGUCUAAAUUAAUUUACCAUUGGGAUGUAAAUAUAUAUUUAUCUCUUUUGAUAAAAUAUUAAGUGCUAUUUUGGUCAUUUUUAUUCUUAGAAACUAUAUUUAUGAUAAAAAAAUUUUUAUUGCUAUCUAGUCAUUUUCUCUUUAUUAUUUUUUCCAAUAUCAUGAUAAUAUCGAAUAAGAUUAAAUCAUUUAGUUAUUAAAAAGAUUAAAUCAUGUUAAUAAAGUAAGUAUAUUAGUAUACUAUAUAUAUAUAUAUUUUUUAUUUUAGUUAGGAAAGAAAUGCUAAGCCACAGAAUCUAAUAUGUUUCCUAAAUCAACGGUCAUGAUUGAUUUUGAAUAGUCUUCCUUUUGACCAAGUCUAAUCACUAAACCUAAAUAAAUAAACAACAAACGAAGGCAAAUGCUGUUUUGUUACUUAUUACAAUCUCUCAGUCUUGAGACAACACAAAAUGGCUAACUCAAACGAUUGGUCUCACCUCUACAGCAACAACCAAGCCUUCUACACAACUUCCACCAUCACUUCAACCGCCGUCACAACCACCACAGCAGCUUCUCCCUCCGGUGAAGCCACCUCCAUGGACUCUCGUCUUAGUCCAGAAACAGGCCGUGUAACCAAACCGGCACGUAGAAGAUCAAGAGCCUCACGUAGAACACCAACAACACUUCUCAACACGGACACAUCAAACUUCCGCGCCAUGGUUCAGCAUUUCACGGGCGGUCCAUCCGCUAUGGCUUUCGGGUCAGGUAAUACCACUUCCGGUUUUAGCCUCACCUCUUCGUCGGAUCCAUCCGCCGGAUCUUCCCAACAAGUUCCUUGGCAAUAUAGUUACCAGCCUCACGCGCCGCCUCCACCGCAACAGCCUUAUAUGUUCUCGUUAAACAACAUGAAUCCCGUCGUUGGGUAUAGUAACAUGAACAACCCUAAUACGAUGGUUCCUGGUGGUUUUGGAACCGCGGGCGGUGGAGGAGGAGGUUCUGCUCCGUCGUAUAAGGAAGCCACGAAUAGUAAUACGUCGUCUUCGAGACUGCAAUGAGAAAACGAUUGGAUUUUUUUGAAAUAUUUUUUUCUCUUUUUUCGCAUAAAGGCAGAAAUGUUAGGUACUGACUUUCUUUUGUCAUAGAAUGACAACUUUGACUGUUGUAUAUUUAAGUUUUUCGUUUUCAUAUUCAAGCUUUUUAUCUUUGUUUUAGGCGUUGAGCAUUUGUUUACAGCGUUAUCACUUAUCAUGGUCCUAAAUAAGCAAAUAUUCAAUGACUGAAGUUGCACACUUGCUUGCAUUCAAAAGGAAAACUCCAGUUUGGCAGUAAGCAAAAUAAAAUAACGUUUCCAAAUAAAUCUAUAUGUUUUUACGAGAAUACAUUAUCAGUUAUAUAAAUUAUUAUGGCAUCCAUAUUUUCUACUAGACUUAGGUAAACUAAAACAAUGUUCUCGAACACUAAUAUAUCACGUAUAUAUAUUAUACAUAUUAACGCUCUAUAUAUGUUAAAAACAUACUUUCACGUAAAGUUCUGAACUACAUCUGAAAAAUUGAAAUUUCUUCAAUAUUAUUCAAAUUAAUAGUAUAUAUGUAUAACGUGCAUGUAAUGGAGGAAAUGUGAGAGAAAUAGCUUACAUCCAAUUUCUGUAUUCAUUUAUUGUAGGCAUUCAAACAUGAAAUUAGUUAGUGUGAAUGUAGUUUUAUCUGCUUUGCCAAAUAAGCUCGAUAAAAUGCAAAAUAUGACUUGUAGACGGAAAACGAUGACUAUCCUUUUCCAGUUCACAAUUUGAUUUACUUUUUUCUUUGUCUUCAAUCACUAACUUUAUAAGAUUAUUGAAAUAUAUUUGAAGGAGAAUUUUCGUCAAGACCAGAAUAAUCUUUUAACAUUAAAAUAUGGUGAUAAGACCAUUAAUUGGAUCAUAUAGAAAUUAAACUUGCUUUUCGUUGGAAACAGAGGAAGCUUUUGGGUGAAGGUAGGCUACCAACAUGAACAUACCUAGAUUCUUACGUUACUCCCUCUGUUCCAUAUUGUAACUAGUUUUAUUUAAAAUCACCAAUAUUAAGAAAUUAUCGCUUUUGUAAAAAAAUAUUAUUUAAUUUUAAAUUCAACCUAUUAUAAAAAAGCUAGCAUUAUUUGAUUGGUUACACAAUAUUCAAUAAAGAAAAAUGUGCAUUGAAAUAUGAAAACUACUUAUAUUGUGAAACAAACAUUUUUUGCUAAAACUACUUACAAUAUAAAACGGAGGGAGUAUCGUUUAUUUUUCCUCUUUUAAUUUCUUCUCAUUCAUAUUAAUUAUGAUUUAGACUGAAAGUGAGAUGGAUCUUUUGAUUUAGAUCGAUGUUAAUAUAGAGUUUGGCCGGUAUACCAAAGCCAAACUCUAUACUUAUAGAAUGUCUUUAGUUUUUUUUCUUACUCUUUUGCAUUUUAAUAGAUUUUAGAUUCUUAAGAUAAAUCCAUAAAUUAAUAAGAGAAUAUUUCUAUCAUGUUGUAGACGUGUUUAUAUUUGACAAAUAAAAUAAUAUAAAAGGAAUUAACAAUGAAGAAUCUUAUUUUAAAAAAAAGUAACAUCGACGAAGUGACAAAAAAAAAAAGAGGGAUAAAGGGGUUAGGAAGAGGGGAUGUAUCUAAUACGCAUUGUGGGUCCCUUAACCUCAAGUGAAAAUUCCUUUUCUUAACUCAAUUUGAAUUCAUUCACCAAUUACUAUACAGUCUAUACUAUACAAUUAUACAAAACAUCUUAUUACGACUCUCAAUCUUAUACUUUGGUAGAUUUUGAUGUUAUUUAUGAUUAAAUUAGGCCUCUUCUUUCAUACAUACUUAAAUAAAUGCGAUAAUCAAUUCUUUCGAACAACUAGACUAUGAUUUUAAAACACAAGAGGGAAGCAUUGAAUUGGAACAAACUAUCUACUAUUCUUUCACCUAAGAGUUUUUUGUAGUAAUAUAGUUUAGAAAUGUAUUUAUUUGUAUAUAAAUAUAUAAACAUAUAUAUAUAAAUAUCUUAUGAGUUUAUUGAGUGGUAGACUAGUGGUUGAGUUGUAGUUUUUCUAGAUGGUCAUGUAAAUUUCAAACUCCAUCCAUAUGGUAAUUAAUGUAAUGACAUAUACAAAGUAAAAACCAAAAUAAAAACUCACUCACCAGAGCAGUUUGUUUUUUGAAGUCGCACAUUGUUGGAGGAAGCUUGAAUAGUGAUAGAUAAGACAACUCAACUAGAUUUCCAUAUUUCUCGUCUAGCAGAAACUACGCGAGAUCCAUUUGAACAACCUCAUUCGUACAUAAAUAAACACUCAUUUUAUUCAAAAAUUCAGAUAUAUGGUUUAAGUUUAACCAGUGUUUUAUUUUUUAUAAUCACCUUCUGGUAACUAUUUUAUUAAAAGGAAAAUUCCAUAACAAUACCCAACUAAAUUUUGUUAAUUUUUUUUAUAUCCAAACUUUUAUACUACAUAGUUUAAUACUUCAACUAAUUAUUUUGCUCAUUUUAAUACGUUUGCUUUUAAAACUAUGUUCAUUUUAAUACACAAACUAUGCUAAUUUUAAUAAUAAGUUUUAAACAAAACAUAAAAAUCUUUAAAUUUCAAAAACAAAAUUUAUUACCUGUUUUCUUUUUUAAAUAACAUAUGUUUGGAUAAUCUUAAUUUAUAACAUUAAUUUUAGUUCUAAUUUCAAAUUUAGUUUAUUUUCUGAACUUUAAAAUAAUAUAUGUAUUUUAUUCAUGAUUAAGGUUUUCUAAAUUUUAAAAUACUAUCUAAUUUCUAGUUAGUUUUAUUCUUAAAAAUUAAAAUAAAGGUUUUUAAAAUUUUAUUUAAAACUGAUUAAUAAUCUUUGAUUAAAAUUAAUAUAGUUUGGGUAUUAAAAUAACACAUUUUUAAAAGUAAAUAUAUUAAAAUGAGCAAAAUAAUUACUUGAAGUAUUAAACGGGUAUCAAACUGUUUUGGGUAUUUAACUAAGAUGAGUAGACUUUACAACAUUUUAUUUUAUUUUUUGUUAUGAAAGUAUCAUUGAUUGAUUAGAUAGACUAGAAACCGUCUGCAAUAAAUAAGAAUUCAACUUUUGUGAAGUACCAUUGUCAAUUUGUGAAGUUGAUCACAAACAGAUUAUGAAUCAUCUGCAAUAAGAAAUAAGGAUUCAACUUCGAAAAUUGUCUCAAUUUGUGAAGUUGAAUCUUUAUUUAUUCUUUCAGAUGGUUCAUAGUCUAUUUGUGAUCAAUAAGUCAGUUUAUGCUUUGCAUAAACAACUCAAAUCUAGAGUAUUUCUUUCGGUUUUUGUAUCUACAACAGCGGGUGAUGACGAUGACGAUGUCGAUGGAAAUCAAGAUGGGGAUGAGAUUCUUCCUAUUGAUGGGAGGAAGAAUAGUGGAAGAAAAUUUACUGAUGAUGUCAAGACAAACAGUUGAUCAAAGCCAAAGUUGUUAGCUGGGAUGUCUGGAGACAAAUGGAAGGUUGAUUGAUAUUGUAACCCGUAUGUUAUCAUCUCUCGGGGGAUCGGUUGCUCAUGCUUAUCAGUAUGACCAUAUCAUUCCCCGGUGAAAGUUGAUUACAACUUUUAAAAACACACUAAAUUUAUGAUGAAAAAAGCAAAAUUAACCAAUUAAAUCAUUUAUAAAUGUUUAAAAAAAUAUUUAUAUAAGCUUAUAAACUAACUCCACCUCUUAAAUACUGAAACCUAAACAAUAAUCAUAAAUCUUGAAUCCAGAUUGAGCAUAUUUUUUCUUUUUUUGAGCAAAGAUUGAGCAUGUAUAUUUUUAAAAUAGUAGCCAACUUAGAAUAUUUUAAGAAAUUUUGCUUAAAAGUAUUAUAUUGGUGUAAAUAUAAAGACUAUCUAAUUAUAUAUGUAAUUAUACUGCUGAUUUUAUUUUAUAUAUUUAAAUUAGGAACUAAAUGGAGUAAAAUGGAGGGUUGAUCGCUAUGGUAACCCCGUAUGUUAUCAUUUCUCACGGGGAUCAGACGCUAAUGUUUAUUAGUAUGACCAUAUCGUUCUUUGGUCAAAAUCACAUGAUUCAAGCUUGGAGAAUUGUCAGGUACUCCAAUCUAUGGUGAAUACUUGGAAUGAUGCUUUAUUACAGCUAUAAAUUUGGUUUGUUAAGCUUUUAAACUCACCUUCUCUAUUUUGGAAAAUAAAUGGUCUAUUUGAAUUUUAGGGUCUGUUGUAGCGAUGAUUCACAAACUCUCAACAAUGGGAUCAUCACAAGAUAAUCAAGAACAGGUAGAGUCGUCUAAAGUAGAUAAUCUUCUUCUUGCAUAGCUUACGUAAUUCAUCAAAGUUAGCUUCUUUUUUGUUUGUUUGUCAAACGAAUUGUCUUGUAACCUCUUGUUAUUUGUGUCUUUGUCUAGUAGAAACGUUUCUUACUUUGUGAUUACAAAUUAAACUCGAGAGUUUAGAUUUUUUGGUCUCUCGUUUGCCUUUAUUUUGAAGAAGUGUGAAGCUUAUGAUGGUCCACAAAACUAGUCAAAGAACACAAGCUACUAAUUGGGGUUUCAUGUGGGACAAACCCAAGUUGAAACCCUCCAAAACUUUUGUACUAUUUUAACAUCUCUGUUAUUUUUUUUUACUUCUUUUUUGGUUAAAAUUGAGACUUUAGGCAUAUAAUAAGAAAACUUUCAGCAGAGUAUCUCAACUUAAAAUAAAUAAAAAUAUAUUAUUGUUCGAUUAUGAAUAUCUCAAAACGAGAAAAACCUCAAUCCAAAAUAUCACAAAACGGUGAAAAAUUCAGUCCAAAAUAUCUCAAAUAAUAUAUUUUGACUAAUUUCUCACCACUCUAAAAUAUCUAAUGAUAUUAGAUCAUUAUUUUAUUUACUUUUUAGAACUACUAAUUUAUUAGAAAAAUGUUGCUCUAGAUCCAUUUCCAUUUUAAUUUUUAUCAUGAAAACUCAAACAUUAAAAUAACUAAAAUAAGAACUUGCUAGAUACUCACAAGAUACUAUGAAAAAUAUUUUGCAUUACAUUUUUGGUCAAUUUUUCAAAAACAAUAUUGAAAUUCAAUAGUUUUAUAAAAGUAAACUUAAAAUAACUGAAAUAAAAACUUGCUAGAUACUCACAAAAUACUACGAAAAUAUUUGGCAUUAUAUUAUUAGUCAAUUUUUUAGAAGUAUCUUGAAAUUUAAUAGUCUUAUAGUAAAAACUAUUUAAAUUAAUAAUAUUGGAAUUACGAAAUUUUAUUAUUUUUUAGAGUUAUUAAUUUACAAAAAAAAUUAUUUUUAUAUUUUAAAAUAUAUUUUUAAUAAAAUAAGAUAAAUAGUUUAUUUUGUCGUGUAUAUGUUAAUUAAAUUAUUAAAAGGGCAAUUCUCUUAAAUAGAUUUUUUUAAGUUUUUGCCACAAAAAUAGACCUCAAAAACUAAAAUGACCAAAAUAGCACUUUUUUAUUUUGAAAAUUUAACUUUUUAUUUAUUUUUAAACCCUAAACCCCACCCCCUUAAUUCUAAACUCUAAUGUCUAGAUUAAUUAACCCUAGGGGUAUAAGUGUAUAUUUACUUCUUUUGAUAAAACAUUUAAGUCUAUUUUGGUCAUUUUUAUUUUUGAGGUCUAUAUUUGUGACAAAAAAAAAUUUAGGUCUAUCCUAGGGAAUUUCUCUUAUUAAAAUUAGACUUUUAUUAUUUUUGUUAUUCUAUUUGGUGUAUACAAAAUAUGUUUCAUAGAAUUUAAAUGUAGUUUUAGAUAUAAUUUGGGUUUUCUACAAAAAAACCCUCAAUGUGGUUUUUUUUUGCAAAUUAAUCCGCGAACUCAAAAACCCACGGGUCAACCCUCCAAGUGCCAGUCAAACCGCAAUAUAACCCUCGGCCAUAUUUAUGUGUAUUUGACUGUGUAUAAUUUUAACAUUUUUUCAAUACUAGGUCAUUUUGGCGCUAAUUUUUUAAUGAAAAAAAUUUGUUGAACCCCACCUUCAUUGUGCAUUUACGCAAGCUCCCAUGUCCGAGAAAAACUAGGUCAUUUCGUUUUAGAAAUCUAUAUAAUUGCGUUUGUUAAGUAAACAAAUAUAUUUGUUGGCCGAGAUGGUUAUAUAGCAUGCACAUGGUAUUUAAGGUUCAAAUUUCAAACCACGAGUUUAACAAAUUUUUUUCAUUAAAAAAUUAGCGCCAAAACGACCUAGUAUUGAAAAAAUGUUAAAAUUAUACACAGUUAAAUACACAUAAAUACGGCAGAGGGUUAUAUUGCGGUUUGACUGGCACUUGGAGGGUUGACCCGUGGGUUUUUGAGUUCGCGGAUUAAUUUGCAAAAAAAAACCACAUUGAGGGUUUUUUUGCAGAAAACCCAUAUAAUUUUACCUAAUAUUAUCAAAAUAUGUUGAUGUGUUAAGAAAAAUAAAGUUCAAUUUCAUUGUGAAUAUAAAAUAAAUAAUACAAUGAUUUGUUUGUACAUAUAUAAACAUUAUAUGUAUGAAUUAUUAAUUUAUGAUUUUAAUGGGAUUAUAUAUAUACAUAGAUUUUCUACAAAAAAACUAUUAUCUUAUUAUUUUAUCGAUUUGUGUCAUAUUUUGAACCGGCCAAAUUCGAGACCGAAGAAAUUUAUUAAUUUACCAUGUUUGUAAUUGAUCGAGUAUUAAUUUAUAGCGUUUCUACCGUAUAACUGAACUUAAAAUAAAAUUAAGAAACCCCAAAAGAAUAUCUUAAAGUGAAAACAAUCAUAAAACUAUAAUGUUUACAAGAGAAGAUGCGUAGUGAAGAUGAGAGAAAGGAAACUACAAUGGUUUUGUUUUAUUUAUUUAUAUACAUCAUUACAAGAGAUGAUCAGCUUGCAGUGGUACUUGUAUACAAAGAACAAAGUGUACAAAGCGAGGCAAAUAAUGGUUCUACAAUCUCACUUAAAUCGUCUUCCAAUGGCUUAGAACCUCCAUCUCCUGUCUGGCUGAAUAAUGUUUCUCUUCCAAUGAUGAACAAGGAGUGUUUAUGACCAUAGAGAAUUGCUGCAAUGUUACCAACAAAUGAGAGUUUUGGGCGCUUACCCACCUUGAAUCAUCUCACUUCUUAACACAUCUUCUCUCCUUAUUCUGUGAGAGCUAAAAGAGUUACUAGCAUUCUACAUCACUCCUCUAAUUCCAAACUUGGGGUAACCAUAGGGAAUGUUGUCAGAUGCGAAUCGCCUCUCAUAUCUUUAGCCAAACCCUCAAUGACAUCGUAUAUCUCAUCACUCUGAGGAUGCUCUUGAUCUCUAGACACAAAACAAUUUACAUUACCUGCAACUUCAAUCCCACUACGACCAACUUCUUUCCUUAAACCCUUUUCUCUCAUUCCUCUCCUCAACCUAUCAACACUCGUCCAUUUCUGUUCCUCAGCAUACAUAUUCGAGAGCAAAACCUGAUAUCCUGAAAAGUUCUUCCCUUUAUCCACUUUAGCUAACUUCUCUGAAACAGUUUCAGCAAGCUCAAUCUCACCAUGUACUCUACAAGCUCCCAGAACCGAACCCCAUAGCUCAGCAAUGUUUCCUUCUUCAUCAAGCCCUUUAACAAACUCGUAGGCUUCAUCAACGCGGCCUACUCUCCCUAACAUGUCUGUAACGCAGCAAUAGUGCUCAUUGGAAGGCUGGAUGUUAUAAACUUCACUCAUUUCCUCGAAUAUUUUGAGACCUUCAUCCACUAAACCGGAAUAGCUGCAAGCUGAUAAUACUGCAACAAAGGUGACAGUAUCUGGUUUGACUCCAGACUCUUCCAUUGAACGAAACAGCGAGAUAGCUCUCUCACCCAUUCCGUGUUGACCAUACCCCAAUAUCAUCGUGGUGUACGUCACAGAGUUUCUCUCUUUCGUUUGGUAAAACAUGUUUUCUGCGUACUGUAUCGCUCCUGACUUUGAGUACAUAUCAACUAACGCAGAAGCAACAAAUACGUUCUGAUCCAAGUACUGCCUUAUAGAGAAACCAUGUAGCUGUUUACCUAAGUCGAAACUACCUAUCUGGCUACACGCAGGGAGAAUCGACGCCACAGUUAUGGCAUUGGGUUUGAUAUUCUGUUCUAACAUCUUCCUGAACACAGCAAACGUUUCCUCUGUGUGUCCGUUCUGCGUGUACCCGGACAUCAUAGAGUUCCAAGUAGCUUGAUCUCUUUCAGCAUAGCCACUUCUCUCGAAAAGCUUCUCUGAGAUCCUUAUUAGACCUGACUUAGCAUACAUGUCAAUAAGGUAACUGUUCAUCCCCUCGAACUGAAUCCCUUGCCUUAUAAGGAAACCAUGAGUCUGCUUCCCAAUCUCCUUGUUUCUAAGAUUCGACGCAGCCGAAAGCAAAGCAGUCACUGUUAUGUAAUCGAUCUUAAACCCCUGCUUCUGCAUCUCAUACACCAACAUCAAUCCUUCAUCAUCUAAGCCGUUUUGGACAGACGCAGAGAUCAUUGUGUUCCACGUCACAACAUCUCUCUCUCGCAUCGAAACAAAGACCGCAAAGGACUCGUGCACAGAGCCGCACCUCGAGUACAUCACCAUCAACGAGUUGAAUAUCACAACGGGAAGCUCCUGAAAGUUCUUGCUGACAAAACCAUGAAACUGUCUACCUAACUCCACUUGCUGCAGCGCUGAAACUGCACUCGCUGCCAAGAGGAACGUUACUUCGUCAGACACAAUCUCUUUCGAUCCUAUUGCAUCAAGAACAAGAUCUAUACUCUCAACCAGGUACUCGUUCUGAACAUAGACUCCUAUCAUUGUAUUCCACACCUCAAUGUUCCUCUCUACACAAGAAUCAAACACUCUCCGUGACGCUUCAAUAUCGCCAAGCUCUGCAUACAUAGAAAUAGCCGAGCUCACAACAAACAAGUCCUUCACAUACUCAUCUCCCAACUUAAGCAUCAAACCAUAAAAUACUUUAGCUCUCUUAACACUUCUCGAACUCGCCACCGCGGGGAAGACAUUCACAAAGCUAACCGGACUCGGUUUAAUCUCCAUCCUCAUCAUAAUCCCAAACUGCCUACACGCCUCUGCGUGUCUCUCCGUCUUCACAUACCAAGAAACCAACGUAUUCCACGCCACAACGUUCUUCCUACGCAUACUAUCAAAAACCUUACGCACCACAUCGUACUCGCUUCCAGGAGGAAGGUGGUUCAAGCAAGAAACGUACAUAUUCAACAGAGAGUUAUGAACAACCCUGCUCGAGUUCUGCAAGCACCGGAUCAAAUGGCAAUGCACGGCUUUACCAGCCUUCAGGUUCUUGGUCUCGGCGCAGGCCUUGAGCGUGGAGGAGUAAGUGUAAGGGUCGCAUUUGGUGAAAGGAGCGGUCUUUUUCAUCCGGGAGUAGAAAAGGAGAGCCUCGUGCGGGAGGUUGUUGCAGAUGAGGCCGAUGAUAAUGGUGUUCCAUAGGACGGUUGUUGGUUUGGGAAUUGCGUCGAACAGCUGGCGUGCGAGCUGUGGGUUUCCUUCUUGGCAGAUUCUGCUGAGGCGGGAGCGGAUUGAAGGUGUUUGGGGAGUUGGGUUUGUUGGUGGGGCGAAGGUGGAAGAGCGNNNNNNNNNNNNNNNNNNNNNNNNNNNNNNNNNNNNNNNNNNNNNNNNNNNNNNNNNNNNUGGUUUGGCGGGGGAGAGUGGAACGAAAGUGGCGGUGGGGGUGGGAGAGGUAGAGCUGAUCCGGCCAUUGUGGAAGAGAUGAUGAAGAACGAAAUGAAGUGACGUUAUUGACUCUCUCUUCCGCUUUAUGUUAUCAUCAUCAUCUUUCUUCAGUGAUAAGAGUUUGUUUAUUUUCUAUUUUUAUAAGAUAGAUUACCAUUUUUCAAAGUACACUAAAUUUGUGAUAAAAAAAAAAUAAUAAACCAACUAAACUAUUUAUUAAUGUUUUAAAAAAUAUUGGGUAAAUAAUCCAUAUUUUCCCACCAAAACUAUCAGGUAAGAAACUAUCAAUCUCGUCUUAAUUAUAUGUAUUUUAAAUUAUUCUACAUGUUAUUUCCCAGUUCAAAGUUUCAAACCAUAAAACCACAUAAUCUUUGUGGUUAAAAAAAAGAAAAAAAAAUCAUAGGCGAUUGAGAGGCAUGUUCUAACGAGGGUCAAGUUGGUUUUUAUUUGGUUAAUUGUUUUUGGUUCAAGUGUUUCGACUUUGGUUUAGGUUGUAAACGAAUUUUGGUUUAGGUUCUAACCAUUAAAUCAGUGAAAAGCCGGGUUUGUGUUUCAGUUUUUUGAAUUGGUGAGUAAUAGGUAAAAUAACUUAAAACUAGGAUAAGACCGCGGGCUAAAUUUAUGUGAAAAUUAUUUAAUAAAUAUCGUAUGAAAAAUAAAAUUUAUAUUAUUGAUCGAAUUAAUAUUUUUGGCUAUUAAAAAAUUUUUUAAAAACUUUUUUGUUAACUACAUAAUUUGUUUACUAAUAAACUGGUCCCAUUUUUAAAAAUAUUUUAGAUCAAAAAUUUAUUUAUCACUUAAAAACCUAAUGUUUAGGCCGAAAAAUCUCAUGUCUACUAUUUGGUUACAAUGAAACUAUGUCAGCUCGUUUUUAUAUCAUGAUUUAGCAAUUUAAAAUUUAAUAAUGGUUAUGAGAAGUUUACGUUCACGUAUCAAGCCUAUCUAUCUUUGAUAUUUUUUUCAUUUUUGUGUCAUUUUGGUUAUUUGCUCGAUAUAAAUAUUUAUUUUUAAGUAUAUUUUUAUUUUUUCUUUUAUUUUGGCAUGAGAUUUAGAAAAUGUUUAAGAUUCAAAAUUAUUAAAGAGAUAGAUACUUAAGUUAAGAUAUGCACCUUGUGCAAAAUAAAUAUUUUAUAUUUUUGUGCAUAUUAUAAAAUAAUAAAAUAAUAAUUAUAUAAUAAAUUGGUUUGCAUAUAUAAAUCAAAUGACCGCUCUUGUAUAUUCGCAAUCAUUUUAGAAUAAAUAAAUCAAAACAUUCAAUCUUAUCUAUCGUAUAUGAUAUAUAAUUAAAUUUAAACGAUAUGAAAUAUAUAUAUAUAUAUAUAUAUAUUAACAUUAACACCUAUUAAAAUAAAAUUAUUUGUUUAUAUGAUUUUAUUAUCAUUAUAUCUUAUUAUAAAAAAAACUAAACAUUGAUCACAAAAGUUUAUGUGAGACUUUUAAUAGUUUAGUAAUUUAUACUCGUUUUGAAAAAUUCAAAAUACAACAUAUACAAAAAAAUCUAAAUUUUUAAUAUAUGAUUAAUGUAAUUGUGUAAUUUAUUUUAAUAAUAAAGAAUUAAAAAAAAAUGAUAGAAAGUAUACAGAUUAUUAGCAAAUUUUCAUUAUUUAAAAUAAUUAAUUACUAUAUAUAUCAUAAUCACAUAAGGUACUUCCGUAAGUUUUAUUUAAGGAAAUAAUAUAUAAUACAUUUCAAUUUGAUAAAUGAAUGGUCCAUAAUGGACAUACUAUAUAAUAUAACAUUUUUUAGCAAUUUAAUUUUGGACUAACAAAAUUCUCAAUUGAUUUUCAAGUCGCCACGUAAACAAAUUAACAUUCCAGUUACGUGACAACCUAGCACGGCAUUUUUUUAAUUAGUAACUACAGGUUAUAAACUUUUUAAAUGUUUUCCUAUUAAUAUAUAGGGGAUGUUAAACCAUUGAUCAUUAAUUUUUACAUAAUAAUUUUAAUAGUUUUAGUAAUUUUGUCGUUUUUAAAAAUUCAAAAUAUAACAUAUACGAAAAAUCUAUAUUUUAAUUUUAUAGCUAAUUUGAUUGUUUAAUUUAUUUUAAUAAUAUAAAAUUAAACAAAAAUAAUGGAUGAGAUAUAAAUUGUUAUCAAAUCUUUAUUAUUAGAAUCAUUAAUUGUCAUAUAUAUAUUAGUCAUAUUUGGUAAUUCCGUAGCUUUUAUUUAAGGAAAGAAAAUAAAAUAGUAAUUGUACACUUUAAUUAAUUUUAUGAUUAGUUAAAUGAAAAGUAUAAUAUAUACUUAAUUGGACCAACAUAUUUUCUAAGGAUUCUGAAUUUCAUUCUGGUGAUGACACGUGACUACACUUAAAGGUUGUAAUGUUUCUCAAUUAAUAUAUAAGGGAUAUGUGAAAUUAAGAUGAAGUUAAAAGUUUGUGUAUAAUUGUUAUUAUAUGAUAUUUUGUGGGGGAAUUAUGUCCUUUACUCAAAAACAUUUAUAUAACUUUAUAAAUUCAACCCCAUUUCCUAAUCUUAAAACCUAAACAAUAAUCAAUAAUCUAAACCCAAAUGUUAAUGUAGUUUUGAUUGAGCAUAUCUUUUUAAAAAUAGCAGCCAAUUUAGAAUAUUUCAAACUAGUUUUCUUAAUAAUAUUCUACUGAUGUAAAUUUAAAGAUUAUCUAUUAUAUAUAUGAUUAAAUAUUGGUUCCAUUUUAUAUAUUAAUUCAAAAUUAAGAAUUAAAUUUAUAGUAUAAUAGAAACUUGGGUUUUAUUGGUUUUAUUAAUAAUACUAAGGUUCAUAAUCAGAGAUAAUGAAGAACAAAAUUCAAGUUCGAGAUUAGAGUGAGAGAUGAAGAAGAAAAUAAAAAUAGAAAUUUGUUAUUCCUCAUAAUGAACAUGUACAUGUAUGUUCAGUACAAUUGUACGGUUAAGCAAAAGAAAACCUAACUAAUAUAAACCGGUUAGUUAACCCUCCCCUCAAGUCUUUAUCUGUGGAGCUUGCAAAAGGUAAAGACUUGACAAGAACAAACGAGAGAAGAAUGAAUGGUAAGGACCUGGGUAAAGAGGUUUGGUGAGAAUGUCUGCAAGCUGGUUUCCAGUGGUGACAUGAAAAGUCUUGAUCUUGUCUGUCUUCAGCUGAUCAUGAACGGUAUGACAAUCGAUCUCUAGGUGCUUCAUACAUUCGUGAAAAAAGGAUUCAUGGCAAUAUGAAGCGCUGACUUAUUAUCACAAUACAACUUAGCAACACGGGUGACAGAGACAUGCAUAUCACGAAGCAAUUGUUGCAGCCAAAUCAACUCACAUGUAGCUAAAGCAAGACUUUGAUAUUCAGCCUCUGUAUUGCUUCUACUAACCACAACCAGUUUCUUGGACUUCCAAGAGAUCAAAGAAGAACCAAAAUAAACACAAAAGCCUGUAAUAGAACGGCGAGUCUCUUUGCAAGUAUCCCAAUUUGCAUCAGCAAAAGCAUUCAAGCAUAACUAUGAAGUAGCUAAGUACAUCAAUCCUUGACCAUGAUUAUUCUUGAGAUAUCGCAAGACCUUAUGAGCAGCCUGCAAAUGUGUAUCAGUAGGGACUGAUGAUUAAUGCAUUUUAUCACAUGUCAAUUAACCUAAUAUGCGCUCUACCACAAUCAAAUGGUAUAACGAUGCAUCACUUUAGGAUUGAAUCCACAAGGAACUAGUGAUCUAUAACACUAAGAAUACACAAGCUUUCAUAAUCUAAGAAAACAAGAAGAUGGAUGAUUGGUAACAAAUUAAGAUCCUGGAAAUAUAAACAAGGUGAUCUCAAAUUCAUUUAAGAAAUAAGUGCAAAAACUAAACUUUCAAUCAAAUGAUAAGGUAGAAUCCAUGGGAUUAAGACAAUUUAUCCAAGGCAAUUAGUUUCCAAGUCAAAGUGAUACGUUUAAGCAAUCAAAAGUCUAUAUAGGUCUAGAUCUCAUUCAGAUAGAUUAAUUCACUGUCGUGACAAUAAUCCAUAUGCAAUCAUGAGCUAAAUAUCAACUCCCGUUGGCCUAAUUCAUUAUGUUCAAGUAUACUAACCAUCUAGCAAUCCUAACAUCAAAUGUCUUUGGUUAUUCAAGCUAAAACAAUACUAAGUUCAUUUAAGCAUUUUAACAAACACCUUCCGGACUUAAAAUUGCAUAAGGUAUAGAUAAGAUUGAUCAAGUCUAAUCUAGCAUUAAAAACAUUUAGCAAGCAUAAAAACUAGUAGAUCUAACAAUAACCACCUUAACUCUUCACUAAUCACCCUAGAUCUACUUAACCCAUGGAUUCAAAAAGUGUCUACUCAAUAAUCUCCAUGAAAAAUCUUAAAUCUAUAUGAGAUUCAAGGUUAAUCAUCUUAGUGAUCAAGAGAAACACAAAUAUAAGAUGAAGUACUUUCUUAAAUGAUCAAAAGGUUCAAGUUUUUACAAAAUGAGGCAAAGUCUUGAGAGAAAACGAGAGAAAAUAGGAUUUUUAAGUCGAAAUCUAUUUAUAGAUGUCUUAAAACGAGCUGGAUCCACAAUAAAUCUGGGUUAACCCAAUAAAAAGUGGUGUUUUCGUCUGUAGAGACAUGGUCAUCCCACUAUAACUAGGUCACUACAGCACUUAGUUGUGUGGGGCUUCUUGGGGAACCAUAGCAACAUGCUCUGAUCGCUACAGUGGUCGCUACAUACACUCGAGUUCCUCCGUAGCGACAUGCUAUGGUCGCUACAGCUAUGGUCGCUACAUGGUUGAUAUGCCUCCAGUAGAUAGAUCAUAACUCCUCAAUACAGCUCCAAAUGAUUUGAAACCACCGGAAUUGGAAAGCUGACUCAAUUGCCUAUGUCGGCCCAAAAUUCGAGCUUCAGAAGAGAUCUUUAAAGCCGUCAUCCAUGUUCAUCUUUUACCCUUUUGACUCAAAACUCCUCAAAUGCCUUCAAACUCACCAAUAAGUAUCUCCAAAACCUGAUAUAGACACAUGCAAUGCAAUGCAAUGAAAUAUAAAUAUGUAUAAAUGAAUCUCUACAUGAUCAUUAUAUACAUUAAAUGAUAGUUUAAAAUCAUGCAAAUUCAUAGGAUAUCAACCCUCCCACAUUUAUCAUUUAGUUGUCCCCAAGUAAACUUUCAAGAACAAAGUGAGAAAGAGUUGUGAAGGUGGAAGCUCAUUACCAAAAGAUAUUUUUCAAAGACAUCAACGUGAUAUACUUACAAAAUCAUACCAAAUAUCAAGAGCAAAACAUCCUAUCAAACUCUAACUUCUCUAGGCCUAUCUCAACUCCUUGAUCUCUUACGCUCAUUCUCAAGACUCCACAAACAAACCAAUCAACCAACCCUCACAUUCAUUAAACAAUAAUCAUAAGUGCACUCUUGCGAAUGGACAAUUGGUCCUAAUCAUUUGGCUUGGUGAAAAAAGGUUUGUAGUUAUAGUGAAGUAAGAGGGUUAUCAAGUGCUUUUCAUGGUGGUUUACUCUCAAGAACAAGUAGCUUGACAUUAUGCAUAAUAUAUCUAAGAAAGAGAACAACUCAUGCAUACAAUGCUCAAAACUCUUGCAUACAAUGCUCAAGAAUCCUCAUUGUUCUACCCAUUUCCUAGACACAAGCAAUUUUUUAAUCUUUGUUUCCCAAUGUCAAACUCCCAUUCACUCACCAAAAUGCUACAAGAACACUCAAGAUCACUCUCACUUUUUGAACUCUUUAUUAAUUUUUUCCCACUAGAGAUUUUUUUUUCACUCGUUCCUUAGCUUAAGCUCUUUUCUUUUUUCUUUACCCCACUCUUAAAAACAAAAAAAUUCUCAGCGGUUUUUAUUUCUUUAGACACUUUUGAGCUAAACUUUCUUUUUCUUUGAUCUCUUUUUUUUUAGACUUUUGAGUUCACUCUUUUCACUCAUCUUUUUUUUUUCAACCCUCAAAGAUCAAACACUCAAUACUCCCUUCCUAUCCUAUGAGCUAGACAUCAUGAGAUCCUAAAGCUAGCAAGUAAUGAGGACCAACCAUUAUCGUUACCAAUACUCUCAACAUUAUGCACAUCUCAAACUUUCAGAAAAGACCUCACUCAUCAAUUUAAUAAUGUCUUGAAAGGAAGGUAGGGUUAAGGGUGUGGAGAACCAUCUAAAGGAGAGAUGGCGACUUGAGUUGCCAAAGAUUGGUGAAAAGGAUAAGACUAACUCAAGUGUGUGUGAGGUAACCAUGAUCAAGCACAAGAAGAGCCCAUAAGCUAGAUAUAUUAGGUUCAUUAACUCAAAUAAGAUUGGAGUUGGUUUCAAGAACAAGCAAGUUUCGUCAAUCAAACAAGUUUCAAGAGGAGUUUUCAAGGCUCGAGGUAUACAAGUUAUCUAGAAGAUGUUCAAGCUACUUAUUAUGACUGAGAAGGAUAACACAUUAACUUCUUUGCAUGAGUUCUUUACAAAGUUUUCUCCCAAUGCAUGAAAGCAAUCUAUAUGUUUCUAGACUUAUCCUGAAGAUUAAAAUGAUGCAACUAAAUGCUUCUUUUUGUUGUUUUCAAUAAUUUUCAAUUCUGUGGGUUUUCUAUGGAAAUAAGUAUGCAAAAUAUAAUGUAUGAGACUCAAGAUGACAAGAAAACAAAAUAGAACACAAGGUGAGAUGGUAGACUCUCCCCCAAACUUACUUCACACAGUCCCUUGUGUGAAAGUAAACUUGAAGGAGAGAUCAAAGAGAAAGAAAAUGAAAGUAUUUACAAAUUUAGGGUGCACUUACUUGGAGUUAUAGGUUUAAUUGGGUGGUAAAGGACCCUUGGCCUCGGAUUUGUUCCACCAGGAGAGACGUGCUGAAGCGGAGAAGUGAAGGCGGAAUGUGUCCAAGCUCUUUACCCAUGUAGUGAAGACUUUCUUGCCAAACCGGAUCACCGGGAUCAUACUCAUCAUAAAACCAAACUAUAAACUCAUUCAUCCUAAUCUAAGGUACCUUCCUUAGAUCAUCAACUUCUUUGGUAGAGAGUAUACCAAAAUGGUAGUCAAAGGGUUUGUCCAUAGGAGAGUCUUCUUCUUGCACCUCUUUGGGAGAUUAUUCAAUGUUGAAUCACUUGAUUUUCUUUAGACUCUUCACCCCUUGAUCCUUUCUUGGAAUUAAGCCUCACAUGCAUUUCGUCCUUGGUUGAUAACUCAUCCAUAACCAAUGAGAUCUAUCUUUUCUCCUCCAUGCAUUUAACAACCACACCAUCAUCACAAAUAUCUUCAAAGACUCUUCCAACCAAGCGUACUUCUUCAUUCUUGCUCCUUGUUGAAUAACCCAUGAAUGCGAUUGGUUCAACUUGCUCUUCAUAUAUUAUCACAAGAUUUUAAUUUACCAUGAAUCCAUAGAGUCUUAAGCUUCUUGUUGAAAUCCAUCCUUGAUUUGAACAUCCUCUUCAAUAUUAAUUUCCAUAUCCAUGGUAUGUUCUUCAUAAGUAUUGGUGUUGUAAAAGGGGGUGUUGCUUUCUUCUUGAUCUUCACUAAUGUGAGAGAGUUGUUGUUGAUUGAUUUCACAUGUCUUAUAACUCCAUCCAACCUUGAGCUUAGAACCUUGCCAUUAACAUCAAUCUUGGUGGAAAGAGAAUCAAGUUGUCUUUCUAUCUAAAUCCUUCCCUUUUUUUGAUUCUCUAACAACUUCACAGGCAUGUUGGUGAUGUUUUCUUCACUUGAAUCUUGAGGAAAUUUAGCUGCUUGUUCUUCAUAGUCUAUAUCCCAAGGUUGAUAUCCCUCACCAUAUCCAUAUUGUCUUCUUUGACCAAAGUCUCCAUGUGGUUGAUACUCCAAUGAGGUGGAUGGUUCAUAAGCUCUUUCACAACAUGUUGAGCUUCUAGAUAUCAUCCUUUCUUGACUCUCCAAAAUAGCCUUUAUCAUUGAUUCUAAGUCAAGAGACAUGAUCUUCCUCUCUUGUGAAUGUACUUUGCAAAAGAACAAUCACUUGAAAGGGAAUUAGUCAUCAAACAAAGCAAAAGAAAACAUAAGAAAAUAAAGCUUAGACGAAUUUGAAAGGGGUUUGAAGGGGGUUUCAGAUGUACAAGAGAUAAAAAAACUCAAACAGCUGAUGUUCAUUCUGAAAACAUGAUCAGGCUUGGACAGUCCCUACGAAUGCUAAAGGCUAAUGUGUCAAAACUCAAGGUUCCAUUGAGAAAAAAAGAGCAAAGAAGUUUCAGCUGCUAUCUCACCUACCAGGUUUGAUAUUCUUGCAAACAUCUGAGCGAUGAAAUAAGCAAGAGGGAGGUGAAAUAAAAGCAGUCUCUGAGGAUGAUAGUUCAGAUGAGGAAGAAUUACCUCCUCAAAAAAUUGUAACCAACAAAAAGAAGCUUAAGUCAAAUCAUAAAGAAAAGAACAAAGGUCAAAAGCAAGCCGCUGCUCCAAAGAAAGCUCAACCUACUUUGCCUCACACUACUACAAAGAAAACCAGAGGAUAUAAUGAUCAUGACGACCCUUUUUGCGUAGGACACUCGCGGUUUCAACAAAAAGUGCAAACAUAAUGCAGUUCGAUCUUGGAUUAGAGGUAAUAAUCAUCUUCUUGGUUGUCUUCUUGUAACUCGUGUUAAAGAAGAUUUUGCUGAUUCUAUCAUUGAAUAUAUGUUUUGUGGAUGGAACUAUGAAACAAUUUAUGAGUACCAUCGGUUAGGAAGAAUAUGGUUACGUUGGUCUCCUUUGGUAUUGUUACAGUUUUGUACAAAAGUCUUCAGCUUAUGACGGUUCUUCUCUCCUUACAUCCAAGUGAAGAGUUCAUGAUUUCGUGCAUAUAUGCUUCUAAUUUUCAGAGGGACAUAACUUAGUUUCGGGAGGAAUUGCGAUCAAUGAAAGGUUUCUUUAGCACUAGCUCUGGUCCUUGGAUUGUAAUGGAUGAUUUCAAAGAGAUUUUGGCUUCAGAAGAUCAUUCUCAUGGAAUGGUUUCAAACAUUAAUCUCUGACUGUGAGCUCAUCGAUAUGGCUUUCAAAGGGCCCAAGUUCACUUGAUGGAAUCAUCAAGAUGAGGUUCCAAUAUGUAAAAUAAUUAAUUGUGUCCUGAUAAACGCUAAUUGGAGGGAUGUGGUUUUAUAAGCCUUAUUUUUACAAACAAGAUGAAGCAUGGAACUUGGUGCACAAAGGAAAAAUUUAUGGCUGAACAAGUUUAUCUUCAUAGUAACAAGAUUUAAGGUCGAUUCCUCAAUCCGAUGAAUUUGAUUAUUGAUGGUUUGUGUGUUCAAGUUUUUUUUAUUUAUAAAUUUGGUGAUAUAAUUCCAGCUGAAUUAUUGCCUCCUUUAUGUGAUAUUCAACACCAAGCUGAUCUUGUUCCUGGUGAGACAAUAGUCAUUCCUUAAUGAGCCUAUAAAACCGUGAAGAAUUACCGAUGUCAAUUGCCUCUGAUUGUGAUAAUCGGUCAAUUUGGAAACUACUUGGUACAAAUUUGGUUGUGAAUAUUUGCGUAAAAUUCUCCAUCCGUUGGACAAACAUAAGUGAUGAAUCAAUCAUUAGGAAAUUCUUUAUGCGGUUUGGUCAAUAGAACCUGAAGACUGUGGACUUCCAAUUGUGCAUUGUGAAUUACACAUAACCAUGCCUUCAACAGAAGUCUUGAAUUUUCACCUUUUUCAGGUUGUGUAUGGGGUUCAUUUAAGAUGUUCCCCUGAUAUUCGUGUUCAUGUUCAAGCAGAAGAUUUUGUGUUCAGCAUGCCAGUCAUACAUCAAACUUCACAAAAAUAAAUGAUAACAGUCGUCUAUAUUUUUUCUCUGUAAUAGAGUAACUCUAUUAUGGAAGCAGAUAAUUAGAUCAAAUUCAUCUCUAUAAUAUAGUUAUUCUACUUUAAAGUAAAAAAAAAAUAUAUAUAUAUAUAUUAAAAAAAUAAUGCAAAAACAUAUAGGGAAAAACAUAUAGAGAAUGUUCCAAGUAAGAGUUUAGCUGAGUUGAUGUAAAAAAAAGAGACUAUGAAUGUUUAAACACAGCCACAUAUUGUAUGUAUAUUAUUUAUAACCUCUACAGAUUGUGAACCUCGUAUAUAUCUUAGGAAAACAAUCAACUUCUUCAUUUUGACGUGAAAGUAUAGCAGUUAAUAAAAUUCGAAGUACUAUUCAUUUAUACGAGAGUUAAAACCUCAAUAGUCAAUAAGAUAUCAUUCAUAACAUCCAAAACUAAAACCACCACUAGUAACAUUCUAUCUUAACGAAAUAGUCUUAAAUCGCUAAGUGACAUAUCAUAAAUUCAUAAUUCUUUUGUUUCAGUUAAACACCAAUACCGCUAGUUAAUAUUUUAGGAGUGUAAAGAAAAUAUCAAAACGAUGAUUCAUUGUUUUUGCUAUUUUCUGCUGGUGAUUGGCCGAUGUUAGGAAAAUGUCAAAACGAUAAUCGUUUUCCGAUUUUAUUCUCUUUUCUGCUUUCGACGGACUAACGUGUAGAAAAUAUCAAAAUCGAUAUCGUUUUUAUUGACCUUGGUCUUUUCUACUGGUGGACCAAGAACAUGUCUUCACGAGUAGUACUCAAGUACUCAGACGACCACAAAUUUUCUGUUAUAUUUGGUUUUUGAAUUAUGUUUAGGCUAUGGGAGGAAAUUCGCAAUGAAACAAAUGUAGAGUAACAUGCAUGCAUGAGGUCCAUUUUUUGGCUCAAAAAUAAGAUCAGUUUAUAACCAUAGCAUUAUCCAUUUCUAAGUGUGAUGACUUCUUGGGUGCACUAUUCGUAGAUAUGCUUUAAAUCUUAUAACUUGAAUAUUCGAUACAGUAAAUAAUCAAAAGAUUAGUUUAGUCAAUUUUUAUUAGAUUCACAUUUGCAAAUUUAUUAACUUUAAAAUUUUUGAAUAAGAAUAUUAUACACAUAUACAUAUAUGAUUGAUGAGACAUACACAUUGCAGAAAACAAGGUGGUAAUAUUCACAAUUUCUGGCAUGCAUUUAUUUCACCCCAUACUAUAUUGUUUCUAUCCGGAAUCUGGAGUAACAACUAUCAGUCAAAUUAAAUUAAUUCAGUGAUAUCCAUUUAUGUAGCUUCAAGUUCUAAAAAUUAAAAUCAAUUAAACUGAUUUUAACAAUGACUUGUUCAACUGUUCAUACAUAAAAUGGAAAAAUUCGGUAAAAUUAAUAUCUUGUCGAUAAUUUUUUUUGGGUAAAUGUUAAGUAUUAUACUUUAUUUCAAUUUUUUUUUCUUUGAAUAAUAUGUAAAAUUUAUUCAGAAAAAAUAAUGUUUACAAUGUAGACUACUUGAUUAUGAGAAAAACAUAAAAGCACUAUUUCAGCCUAUCUAGUAGAGAAUCAGAGAUGUAAGACCCCUUCAUGACGUCUAAUUAUCUUGGAUAUCAGAAUGAGACACUGUUUUUGAAUCUGCCUAUCGAUCAUCUUUAUCAGCUGACUUGCUAGUAGCGGCUGAGACCCAUGACGAUGACCAUUCCUCUCACGCAUAGAGAGUGCAGAGUCACUUGAAAGCUGUAUCGCAAGAGGUACAUCGUUAGGUGCGGAAGAGUAUUGUCUGCCAAGAUUACUCGGAUAUCCUGCCAUUUGUUCGUGAAACGGGAUAGAAGAAGACCCUGGACCAGAGCCGACCAGACUUCUUGAGAGUAGCUACAUUCAAAAAAGAGAUGAUCUCUUGUUUCCAGGUGUUGUUGACAUAGAACACAACUCACAUCAAUACCCACAUUCUAGGAUAUCAUUCUGUCGCCAGUUGUUAACAUGUUGUGCAUUGCUAGCCACACCGUGAACGAGUACUUCGGCAUCGAGUGAGAGAACCAGACGAUCGAGUGCCAGGUUACAGUGGGAGCAAAACGUCUAAGAAGAGACCAUGUGCUUCUCAUGUUGAAUUUUGGUUUGAAGCUGUCCGAAGUAGACUUCCAUACCGAAAUAUCUUCUCCUACACCUAUAUUUUCUCGCUUUUUAUGUAACUCAUCCUCAAUCAUAGGAUACAAAUCAUAGCGGUGCCGUCGUGGCCGUCAAGAGAUAACAGACGCAACACUUGCAUUUAACCGAAUUCCCAUAUCAAUACAUCCCCUAACGCCCGUAAGAUCGAUUAAACGACCCAUAUCUGACCAUGCAUUAUUCCAGAAUGAGGUGCCUUGGCCAUCUUUCAAUUCCAUUCGAUGAAAAUCUUUAGCAUUGUCUCUAUAUUUUAGAAGUUCCUUCCAUACCCACAACCCAUUGUUGUUGUACUCUUGACCGUCCAAAAUGUCCCUCCUUUAAGCAAAUAUGUUUUCACCCAUUGAGCCCAUAGAGAAUGGGAGGAAGUGAUCCUCCAUAUUAGCUUAAGGAAACAAGUGAUAUUAGCUUCCUUUAACGGCCUAAGUCCAAGCCCCCCCCNNNNNNNNNNNNNNNNNNNNNNNNNNNNNNNNNNNNNNNNNNNNNNNNNNNNNNNNNNNNNNCCCCCCCCCUUAUGAUUUCAACAUGGUAACUGUAUCCCAUGCCACCUUCGCUCGCUUCACAUUGAGUGUUGGACCAGACCAGAGGAAUGCACAACACAAGCUAUCAAUCUCUUUCAGACAUUCUCCAGGGAGACAGAAAGAGGACAUGCAUAAGUUGGCAAUACUCAUAAGCAUGGACUUAAUAAGCUGCAGUCGUCCAGCCCUAGAUAAGAAUCUGUACGUCCAUAGACUAAUUCUUUUCUUCAUUUUCUCAAUGAGUGGUUGGUAAUCAUUCUUCCCCAUUCGCUUUGUUAAGAGUGGCAGUCCUAGAUAUCGAACCGGUAAGACACCCACAUCCAUGCUAAAACGUUCCUGAAGUUCUUGCUUUGUGUUAUCAUCACUUCCCCCACAAAAGAUCGUUGAUUUUUUCACACUCAUCAUUUAGCCUGAGAUAGUUUCGAACUUCUUGAAAACCUCCAGGAUACUCUCAAUGGAAUGAGAAUUACCAUCUGAGAACAAUAGAAUAUCAUCUGCAAAGCUCAAGUGUGUAAGAUUCAGGUUCUUACACUUUGUGUGAUAGCCCAUCAUGUGCUCUGCUGCUGAUUUAUCCAACAUCUUCGAUAAAACAUUCAUACUGAUGACAAACAGAUAUGAUGAGAGUGCGCAACCCUGACGAAGCCCUCUUUCACUCUUGAAGAACCCAGCCAGCUCUCCAUUCACUUGGACCGAGAAAGAAGCCGUAGUGACACAAAAAGAUAUCCAAUGUAGGAAUUUCUCCGGGAAUCCCAGCGCUGUCAAGGUGUUGAAUAGAAAGGACCACUGAACCGAAUCAAAUGCUUUUGAAAUAUCCCUUUAUUGCACAUCGACGAGAGGCUGAGUCUUUGUGAUAAUCCUCAACCAGUUCCGUUGCUAGGAGCAGAUUUUCUAUCAGUAGCCGAUCUUUUACAAAAGCGGAUUUAUUCAGACUAAUAAAUUCUGGGAAGAGCUUCUUUAACCGGUUUGCGAUAAUCUUUGAGAUCACUUUGUAGAUAACAUUACAGCAAGAGAUGGGACAGUAGUCUUUCAUCUUCUUUGCUCAUGUGACCUUCGGUAUGAGAGCCGUAAUGGUUGUAGUAACCCCUUUUGGUAGAAAACCCUUCUCAAAAAAACUUUUAACCGCAGUAACAAACUCAGAACCAAUGAUUGGCCACGCUAAUUAGUAGAACUCUACAGUGUAACCAUCAGGACAAGGAGACUUGUCGCUCAGCAUAGCAAAUAAAACUUUUGUUACCUCCUCAGCCGUGACCCCUUUGACUAGAUUCUCUUUGUCCAACGGUAAGGUAAGAGGGACUGAAGCACGUCUACAUCAAUACCUGAAUAGUUUGAUGGCUGAAACUGAAGAAAUUCUCGAAAGUGCCUCUCAGCUUCGAUUUUUAUUUGUUCAGGAGUCCUCACCACCUCUCCAUCUAAGCACUCUAUCUCCUUGAUCAAGUUCACUAUUUCUCUUUCUGUUUCUCCUCGAUGGAAAGCCGUAUUGUUCUUAUCACCCACAUCCAACCAAUGCAUCUUUGAUUUUUGUUUGAGAAAUUUCUCUUCAAGUCGAUAAACAAAGUCCCAACGCUUAUAUACUUCACUUUCAGACUGAAUGUUUGUUGUGUUGGAUUUCUCAUUGUUUCAUCCUGCUGUGUGCAUAACUCUUCAAAAUAAGCCUUUAACUUAACUGAGAGGUUCCCCAACCUUGUCUUUUCCAACUCCCGUAUUAUAGGCUUCAAGUUCUUUAGCUUCUUUGAGAAUAUUAAUAGAGACGAAGUCGAUGAAAAUAUUGGUUCAGUAUUUUCCCAAUACUUUCCAACACUAAGUAGAAGAUCUUCCAACUCUGUGAUCGCAUUAACAAAUUUGAAUGGUCGUCUCAGGCGCAAAAGUUCCGAGUGAAGCUGAAUGCGCCAGCGUAGAUGAUCCGAACAUCCACCAGUCUCAAACAUAGCAUAUGAUUGCGGAUAGGCAGCGAGCCAGUGGUCAUUAAACAUGACACGAUCAAUCUUCUUCAAGAUAAGACCCUCCGUUAGUUUAUUACACCAUGUAUAGUGUGGCCCAUGCAAUCCUAAGUCCGUCAGGGAACAAUAUCUCACAACAUCACCAAACUUCCUCAUUCCUUGAGUCACCAUAGGAGAGACUUCAUGCCACAAAUGAUCCUCCAUAUUAAGAGUUUCAUUGAAAUCUCCUGCAAUUAGCCAAGGCAUAUUGUGAAUGAUCAGGGAAUCUUGAUGAAGCUUUAAGUCCUUCCAUAACUCCCUCCUCUCUUCCAUAGUGUUCAAAGCAUAAACAUAAAAUAAAAGAAUUCCUCUCCACUUUCAAUCCAAAUUGAGACUGUGAACACUUACCUACUUUUAAAGAAAGGCGUUACUCUGAUGUCUGGUCUCCACACCAACCAUAUUCUUCCUAAUGCAUUAAACUCAUAAUUUGAGAUCAUACUCCAACCCCAAAAGGCUGUCGAAAGUAUUUCCUCACUCCUACCCUCCUUAACUCUUGUUUCCAGCAACCCUCCAAACAUGAAAUUCUUGUCCCUUCCCCAAUUCUGUACAACCAUGUGCUUCUUUUUUUAUUUAUUAAAACCUCGAAUAUUCCAGAAGAAACCCGACAUAAUUAACACUUAUUGGUAUUACGUUUUUUACCCAUAGUACUUGCCAAGCUGCGCGUACUUUGAAUCUUCGUGUCUCCACCAUUCUUAGCAUGAAAUUUUGCAUUGCGAGUAGAUGUUCUCCGAGUGUUAACUUCAUCAACAAUCUCUUGCUUUUGCUGUUCAUUACAACUUGUGAGUAUCAGAUUCCACAGGCACUUGUUUCUCCAAAAUCUCACCUUCCUCAUUCAUAAUGUUCUCUCUCAUCUCAAUCCUCUCCCAAGAUGGCAAAACGAGAAGGAGAACUUAUGAUGUUUGAAUCUGCAUUUAUUUUUGAGAUUGACCUCAUUUGUUUUCCUGGAGACACAUUCAACCAGUCAUCCUUUGUUUCUUUAUGUUCUUCAGUCUGUUGAUGUGCACCAGCAACAAUUCUCUCCUCGUGAGCUUGGUUCUGAUCUACCACAAUAUUUCCAUCUUCCAAUCUCUCUUCUCCAUCGCUAACCAUUCUCUCCUUUUCCACUCCAUGAGUUAUCUCUGGCUCAACUGCUAGUGGUGCAGAGCUAGAUGCAUCACUUUCCUGAUCAAUUUGUUUCGAAGAGGACUCACUGCCUUCUACCUCCUUGGAAGGACCCUCUUACAUCUCUUUCCUCUGUAAUAUACAUAUGCUUUUUCCUUUUCCACUACAUUUUGCUCCUACAUGCCCCCAUUUAGAACAUAAACAGCACUUGGAUGGUACCAAGGAUACACGAACUGGACAUCAGCCACCACUCCUAGUUUUGAUUUAAAGUGAUGAGACUUCGGCAGUUCUUUAGUCAUAUUUGCUUCUAUAAAGACCUUUGCCUCCUCCAAAACUCUUGCUAAGUAGAGUGUCCGGGUGUAGCCUCUUAGGCUUUCCAACUGCACUGGCGAUGAACCCCAAGCCCUUCCAUGAAAACAUCCUUCUCGGCAUUUUCUUUAACGUUACCAAAUCAGUAUUGUAGUGAUCUCGACUUACUCCUCUUCCUCCUCCUCUGGAGACCAUUUUAACACUACCAUCGGGAUAUUAGCAAUGUUCCACAUUCCAUGACGUAAGAUCCGUGCUCGCGUGUUAGCGUCUUUGAUUCUGAACUUGACUAUAGUCUUGUCCACUUCAAAAACCUCGAUUCGUAUAGCUUGGCUUCCCAGAGGCCAGAUUUUAUUCACUAUAGCGUGAAUUUUUGCAACAUGAGGAGCAGUGCCCAUGAACUUUUCUUCGAUUAGAUCAUCCCAUAGAGGCACUGUGUUCUGGAUUAUACCAUCCGAAACUCCACAAAAUCCUUUCCCUCCUCUGAAACAUAAGCCAACACAUGUAUCGCCAAAACUGGUCCCGACUGAGCCACCCCUACCCACGAAGACGUCUUCCCUUCCUUAACUGUGUUAUUUUCCCUUGCUGUGUCCCCCAAAGGCGAAAACUCGGUUAGAUCCGUCAUCGGCCCGAACAGAGAUUACGUGUGUUAGAACCCAAAACCCUAGUCGCACUUCAAAUCAGACUUGCCACGUCAGCCCACUUUCUUUGGCUUGUUUUUUCCUUUCAGCUUUCAAAUUUUGACAGAACUCAGAUAAAAUAAUUAGACUAAACAACCCACCUAAUCAGCAACAAAGAACCAAGAAAUGAAAGAAAUGAAUCAAGACAUAGAACCGAAAGCCAAAAGAACACUGACACCUGAAAAGCAUAAAUGAAAUGAACAUAUGAUCGCCACAAGCUACCGAAAUAAUGGCACCCUAAAAUUCUAAAGCGAUGACUCCCGCAAUCAGUGCCAUCUUAAAUAUAAAUUACAGUCUAUUUCUUGCCUCUUUCUUAUAUUUUUCGUUUUUGGUUUGAAAUUCAGAUUUACUGUUUUUUUUUAAAUAAUAUGCCCUUUUACAUGUGGGUUCUCUCGAAGAGUGCAAUGCUGGCGCUUGUACUUACGCCGGCAUUGGUUACAUGGGUCAUCAUUUUAUAGUCUGAGGGUGAAUUGUUUCGGUAGCUUGUAAGUCGUAAUGAUCAAAUGUUCAUUUUAUUUAUGUUUUCUUUAGGUGCGUCAUUGCUCUGCUCAUUUGUUUCUCAUGUCUCGGUUCUUUGUCGUUGUUUAGGUUUCUUUGUUAGUUUGAAUUCUAUAUUUCCGCUAGUGUUCUAUCUAAUUCAGUCCAAAUUUGAAAUAUGGUAUCACAUUAAAAAAGUUAUAACUUGUAUUAAUUAAAAAAAUUUCAUGCUGAAUUCUCACGUAAUUAAAAUGCUAAUUUUGCUUAUGUAGCAGCUUGAGAAUCAAUUAAGAAUUUUGUUAGUCCAUAAUUAAAUUGCUAAGAAAUGUUAUAUUAUAUAGUAUGUUCAUUAUGGACCAUUCAUUUAUCAAAUUGAAUUCUUUCCUUAAUUAAAACCUACAAAAGUACCUAAUGUAAUUAAGAUAUAUAUGACAAUUAAUUAUUCUAAAUAAUAAAAAUUUGCUAACAAUCUGUAUAUUUUUUAUCAUUUUUGUUUAAUUAUUUAUUAUUAAAAUAAAUUACAUAAUUACUAAUAAAAAUUACGAUUUUUUUUUUUUGUAUAUGUUGUAUUUUGAAUUUUUCAAAACGAGUAUAAAUUACUAAAAUUGUUAAAAGUCUCACAUAAACUUUUGUGAUCAAGGUUUGAUUUUUUUUCUAUAAUAAGGUACAAUGAUUAUAAAAUCAUAUGAAUAAAUAAUUUUAUUUUAAUAUAUAUACAUAUUUCAUAUCUUUUAAAUUAAACUAUAUACAUCAUAUGCAAAUACAUACUUAUAUUUUGAUAUCUACGUUGAACAUAUAUUGAAAAGUUAAUAUUUUAAUUUUGAAAUCUUCAUUUUUUUUUAAAUAAUUAUAAAUUAUUGUAACCACUAAAAAUUCCACAUUAAAAACAAAAAUCGUUGGUGUAAAGUUUUGUUACACAAAUAUGCAAAUAAUCAUAAAAUCAUAUGAGUAGAAACCUCAUUUAAUAAAUAUCCAUAUUAAAAGUAUACUAUAUAUCUAUGUUAAUAUCAUUUAAAUUUAAUUAUAUAUAUAUAUAUAUAUCAUAUACGAUAAAUAAAAUUGAUUAGUUUGAUUUAUUUACCCUAAAAUGAUUGCGAAUAAACAAGAGCGAUUGUUUGAUUUAUAUGUGCACGCCAAUUUAUUACAUAAUAGUAACUGAUUUCUUAGUUAUUUAAUAUAUAAUUAUUAUUUUAUUAUUUCAUAAUAUGCAAAAAACAUAAAAUAAGUAAUAAAUAUAAAAUAUUUAUUCUGCUCAAUACGCGGAUCAACCUAAGUACAUAUCUCUUUAAUAAUUUUAAAUCUUAAACAUUUUCUAGCCAAAACAAAAUUACGAAAUGAGAAUAAACUCAAAAAUCAAUAUUUAUAUCGAGCAAUAAACAAAAUGAAAAAAACGACACAAAAAUGAGAAAAAUAUUGAAGAUAUUUAGGAUUGGCAUGUGAACGUAAACUUCCCAUAACCAUAAUUAACAUUUAAAUUGCUAAAUCAUUAUAUAAAACCAAGCUUUCAUAUUUUCAUUGUAACCAAAUUGUAGGCAUGAGAUUCUCCGGCCUAAACGUUAGGUUCUUAUGCGAUAAAUGAUUUUUUGACCUAAAAUAUUUUUAAAAUAGAAUCAGCUCAUCAGUAAACAAAUUAUGUAAUUAACAAAAAAAAAUUAAAAAUUAUUUAAGGGCCAAUAAUAUUUAUUCGAUCAAGAAUAUACAUUUUAUUUUCCCAUACAAUAUUUCUUAAACAAUUUUCAUAUAAAUUUGUCAUACGUAAGGCGCAUGUCUUAUCCUAGUAUACUUAAUAUAUUACCAAAAAAAUGUAUCCACAAAAUAUUAAUUUUACAGAAUUUUCCCAUUUUAUGUCUGAUCUGUUUCAGUUUGAUUUUCCUUUAAAAUUUUAAGGCUACAAAAAUGGAUAUCACUGAUGAUUAUUUAGGAGACUAGAUUCCAUGUUCUGUGCCGUGCUGCCGUGCUGGAAAUGCUUUUAGUACUAUAACCCAUGUUCAAAAAUGCGGCCUAGUUAGCCGACUUCGCACCGGUUAAACACAACUCGGUAGUGCUCCGCUGCGAUUUUGUGUUAUUCGGGUAAAAAUUCGGAUUUCAAAAAAAGUAUACAUAUUUUGACAUUUUCCGGUUCGAAAUCUGUCCUUUAAGCAUAUAUCUAUCAUCUAUAUUAUUAAAACUGAAGUACCUUUUGGUACUGUUUGGAAACUUAGAUAGUAGAUCAAAUGAAAGUUGUUUGAAAAAAAAGAUAGCAUAUUAAAUAUUUUUUUUUUAUAUAUUUAGUCACUGUAUUUCUUUCUCAUUUACAGAUUCUGUCGUUUGGAAACUUGGAUAAAAGAUUAAAUGAGAAUUGUUUGGAAACACGAAUAGCAAAUUAAAUAUUUUUUCUUAUUUACACAUGUAGCUAUUGCAUUUCUUUCUUAUUUACAAAUCUGUCACCUCACUUAAAAUCAAAAUUUUAAAAUUAAUUAAUUACAAUGAAUUCUUUUUUUUUUUGCUGAAAAUAAAAAACACAAACUGUAAUAUAUAGUAUAUAUUAAUCUGAUACAAUACAAUUUUCAAGAAAACCAAAUAUCAUAAAAUUAAUAAUAAUUUAUAAAACCUACUGUAAAAAAUUAAAUCAAUUUAAAUAAAUAAACAAAAAAAUAAAUAGGUUAAUAUAUGAAUAUUACAAUUACAUCAAAUUGCAUCAAGUUAUAAAAUUAUAAAUAUAAUAUUGUGUACAAAUAAAAAUUAUCAAACAUCUAUAUUAUAAUAUAUUAUAUUAUACUCUAAAUAUAUUUUACAAAACAUAAAAAUAUAAAUGGACAUUUUAUAAAAUCAAUGGUUUAUAAAUUUACAUUGAAUGCAAAUUAAAUCCAAAACCUGCGCGGAACCGCAUGUCAAGAUCUAGUAUUUCAUUGUUACCGAUCAAGAAUCGAAGAUAAUCGUCAAAGAAAAAAAUUAUUUAUGUUAAAAAUAAAUAAAAAAAACGGUUGUCGUUGGAGAAGAAACAAGUCGAGAGGAAGAUGAUGUAACUAAAAUUACAAAUGUGUCCUUUAUUAAUGAAAUGUUAAAAAAGCAAAAAAUUGACAUUUUUUUUUAAUCGAACCCGGGAGAAGAGAACUAGUUAUUAUAAGAACUUGCAUGCAUGAAAUUCUACGCGUACAGUUUUACUCGUUGACUUUAGAUAUUAUAGACUAAGAGCAUUGAUUAAUUAGAGGUUUUUACGAUGAAGUUCUUAGCAGAAUUUAAGAAACUGUUUCUUAACUUUUUAGUAAAAAAAGUUAAGAAUCGAUUUUUAAAUAAAGACUUUAAGAACCAGUACUUAGUUUUUUAGUUAAAAAUUAAAAAACAGAUUCUCAAUUUGUGUUAAUAACCUCACUCUAAAAACCCUCGGUAAAUCAUGGUGUAAACAUCGUAUAGCGGUACGAUGCAAGUUUAGACGAUGCAAGUCCUUACGGUACAUUGUAAAACUAUACCGACAUUGUCAAUGUUUAGUCUACGCGUACAGUUAUAACUCACUAGUUAUUUAUAUUAUUAUUAUUAAUUUAUUAUUAUGGCGGAGUCACAUGCAUGCAUGAGAUUCAUUCAUUCAUAAUGUCACACUCACACACUAUCCAUUCCCCUUUGUUUUGGUUAUAAAGAAAAUAAAAUUCUUAAAGUGACAAACUUCACGGGUUACACUGUGUUACUACCCGCCAAAUUCUACCCGCCACCUUUUAAAUUUCAUUUUAGUUUCUUCACCGUCAAUAAAUCGUCAGGACAAAAUAAUUACUUUUAAAUUUCAUUGUUUUAUCUUACCAAGUGUGGUCAGUAUCUCUAAUAAUUUUGAAGAAUAUUUAGAAAACUAAUUAGAUAAUAAUUUUCGACGAUGUUAAUAUAUAUGUCGAAGUAAAUAAGGUAAAAAAAAUGGUUCAUUUAUGGUUUUAUAUGGCAUUAAAAUUUUGAAUAUUGACUAUCAGAUUCAGUAUAUCAUUUGGAAUAAAAACAAAAGUAACCUAAAACUUAUAGAUUGAUCUUCUUUUCAGAAUGCAUAUGCAUUUACAGAUUUAGUAUCCUUUGAAUUAUUAAUUAUCAAAAAAAAAUUGUAUCCUUUGAAUUAUCGAUUAUACUAGCCAGAAUUACAUGUUGACCUAUUUACAUUAUAUUUGAAAUCCCAUAGUGAAUACGCGCACCAUGACUAGUAUUACUAUUAUUGUAUUAUAUUAUAUUUACAUUAAUAUGUAAUAUGAAAAAACUAUAAAGAGAAUCAUCAGUCACGGACAUCAUGACUCAAUCACUCUAAGCUAGAUACGUAAUAUCUUUCAGAAGCGUGGGACUAAAAUAUUACAAGAAAUAGCUUCGAACAAUUCAAUGAAGUUAGCAUGGUGAAAAAUAAUCUUGAACCCAACAGACUACUUUUGGUCGGGACCCCAAUAAGUUGGAACUUUGUUCAAGAUUUAUCAACCUAUGUAUAUGAAUAGUUGAAUAGUGUAUAUCCCCAAGAACUGAUUCUCUUUUUCCUAUUUGUAUAGGCAAAGACAUAAACUAGCACCCGAGAGAACUUGCCUAUGAUCCUCUCUCAAAAAAAAAAGUGGACCUAACAAGGAAGGAACAAGACAAAAAGAGUGAGAACGAUGUUUUUUUAUCAUAUCUUGUAACUAUAUAGAGAAUUGGAGGUGUCUCGCAAGUCAAGUAGUAAUCACAAAACCCCUUCAUAAAUUGUCUACCCACUGGGCACUACACUACAACAACCUUUGGUUGCUCCCAUUGUUUUCACCUAUAAAUUACAAAUAUGACUAUGCCUAAGGUUCUUAAAAAACUUUUUAAUGCCAAUAAUAUAACGAAGGUUUAAGUUAGUGGCUUCUAAAACGCUUAGACUAUGCAUUCUCUAAUAUUGAUUAUAGACUAAACAUUGACAAUGUCGGUACAGUUUUACGCGUUGGCUUUAGAUAUUAUAAGGACUUGAUCUGAGGUUUAGUUAAAAUAAGGUGCAAGACAUAAGACAUGAUUCUUAAAAGGUACUAGCUUAAGAUCCGUGCAAUUGCGCGGAGUGAAUGUUAUAUAUAAAACUAAUUUUAAUCUAUUAUUAUUUAUAUUUAUUUACGUAUUAUGUAUAUAAUUUAAUUAGAGUAAAUACAUAAAUCAAAACAAUACAUCUUGUUUAUUUAUGAUAUUUUUUUGGUAAAUAAAUCAAAACAAUCAUUUUAUUUAUUUUAUAUGGUAUAUAACUAAAUUUCAAUAACAUGGACAUAGAUAUAUAAUAUAUUUUAAUAUAAAUAUUUAUUAUUGAGAAUUCAUACUCAUAUGAUAAACACAAAAUUUCUAAUAUGCAAUUUUUAAUGCAAAUUUCAAAAUUAAAAUAUUAAGGUCCAAUACUUUUUCAGUACAAAUUUAGAAAUUAUCAUAUUUAAGUAUUACUCCAUGUUAUAUAGUUUAAUUUUAAACUAUAUUAUUAUAUAACAUGAAUGUCUAGUAAAUGUGACUUCAUAUUCAUACGAUUUAUAAUCAUUUGUAUCUUGUUAUUACCAAAAAAAGUUAAACCAUUGAUCACAAAAUUUCAGUGUGAGACAUUUAACAUUUUAAUAAUUUAUAAUCGUUUUAAAAAUUCAAAAUAUAACAUAUAAUUUUUUUAUUUUUUAUUAUAUGGUUAAUGUUGUUGUUUAAUAUCUUUUAAUAAUAUAAAAUUAAACAAAAAAAAAGCUAAGAUACAAAAUUUAUCAUCAAAAAUUUAUUAUUCAUAAUCAUUAAUUAUCAUAUAUACGUUAAUCAUAUUAGGCAAUUCUGUAAUUUUUAUUUAAGGAAAGUGCGAGAAUAUUAUUUUGUACAUUAUUUAUAAAUUUAAUAGUUAGUUUAAUAAAAAGUAUAAUAUAAGUUAAGAUAGAUCAACCUAUUUUUCCAAGAAUUCUAAAAUUCAUUUUUAUGUUGACACAUGAAUACAAAAUAUUAUCGUAAUGUUUCUGAUUAAUAUAUAAGAGAUUAUUGGCAUGCUUCACGAAGCUAAUAUUUGACCAAAUAUGCAAAUAUAAACUAUGGAAAUUUCUUAGGAACCUACUAGUAAUGAAAAUCAUUGGAGAUCGUACUAUCGUUAUUCGUUACUGAUUCUUUAGCAAAAAUAAACAUAUAAGAAAUGAUUAUGCGAGUUUAUGUUGCUGAGUGCUACAGUGAUAGUUUUGUUUUUCUAAUUAAGCAUUUUCAUGUUUUUGUUUUUCUAAACAUUUUCAUGUUGUUUGUUUUUCUAUACAUUUCCAUGUUACGGUAUAUAUAGGCUGAGCAUGUCCAAGCUAUUCAAAAUUAACCGAAUCGUGGAACAGAUCCAGUAACUAGCUAAUUCAUAGUUCUAUUAAAAUUGAGGUUAACAAAGGUAUAUUCAACCAGCGUAGCUGGCCCAGAUGGUCUUGUGGGGAAAUAAAAAACCCUAAUACGGAACACGCGGGUUCGAUGCGCUGGCCAGACAAUUGGGGUAUCUAAUUCCCUAUAGUACCAAAUGGUCCGCCUCGCGCCGAGGGGUUGGCCCCUGGAGAUGGAAGUCCCUCCAGGUUAAACAAAAAAAAAAAAAAAAAAAAAAAAAAGGAAAAAAAAAAAAAAAAAAAAAAAAAAAAAAAAAAAAAAAAAAAAAAAAAAAAAAAAAAAAAAAAAAAAAAAAAAAAAAAAAAAAAAAAAAAAAAAAAAAAAAAAAAAAAAAAAAAAAAAAAAAAAAAAAAAAAAAAAAAAAAAAAAAAAAAAAAAAAAAAAAAAAAAAAAAAAAAAAAAAAGGUAUAUUCGUAUAUAAAAGAAAAAAAAAACAAAUAAAUGAAUAGUAACAAAACUAGAGAGAGAACAGAAAGGAAUAUAGAUUUUGCCGAAACUUUUCUAAGGGCAGUGUCUGAGUAUUUUUUUGGUAAUCAUGUUAAAUCAGUGUCUGAGUUCUUCAAACCUUCUCAGACUUGUCGUUUGUAAUUAAUCAUUAUCUGGCCGAUUAAAAAUGAUUAAUGUAUUUGAUUUCGUGUUUUCCGAAUGCUUUCACACUAACCAAUUACAUUUUCACAAAAUUUACAAAUAGGUUCGUAGAGCAUGCAGCCAUGUGAUGAGCACAAAAGUGAAAAAUUCUUUAGCAGUUUACUUAUAUCAACGUAAAUAGCGAAUGUUAUUCCUAAAUUUCCCUGAAAAGAUAAGAAUCUACGACUACAAAGAUACGCCAAUUUAGGAAAGUAUGACAAACCCUUUUAUUUUCGUUUUGGAACUAAGUGACCUUAUACCUGCUUAAUAAAAUCUAAUAUUCCAAUCAUCUAAUCACAGUUUGGUGCUUACACUAUUAAAAAUAAACAAAUAUCGGCGAAUACUUUUUCUAUAAAAGGUGCACACUAUCAUAUACCUACUUACUAAGUCGUUUACACAACCCAAACCCUCAUUCUAAGAGAUGGGGUCUCACACACAAAACCUCUCUUUUCUUAUCCUCCUUCUCCUAGGCUUCCUUGCUGUCUCAUUCGCUUGCGAAUGUAGCCCUCCUAAACCAUCACCGAGUCCUCACAAACCGCCUAAACAUCCCGUCAAACCGCCUAAACCACCAGCAGCCAAACCACCAAAACCACCGGCAGUAAAACCUCCUAAACCCCCCACCAAACCUCCCACCCUUAAACCACACCCCCACCCUAAACCUCCCACUAAACCCCCCACCGUUAGACCACACCCACACCCUAAGCCCCCUACCAAACCUCAUCCCAUCCCAAAACCGCCCACCGUUAAACCACCACCCUCCACCCCCAAACCGCCCACAAAACCACCCACCGUUAAACCGCCUCCAUCCACCCCUAAGCCGCCCACCAAACCACCCACCGUCAAACCACCACCCUCCACCCCAAAACCGCCCACCAAGCCACCCACCGUCAAACCACCUCCGUCCACCCCUAAACCACCUACCCACAAGCCACCAAUAGUGUGCCCACCGCCAACACCAACACCAACCCCACCUGUUGUAACGCCACCAACACCACCAACACCAACUCCACCAGUCGUUACGCCACCAACACCAGCUCCACCUGUUGUAACGCCACCAACACCAACACCACCGGUCGUAACGCCACCGACACCAACCCCUCCUGUCGUAACACCACCAACACCACCGGUCGUAACGCCACCGACACCAACCCCUCCUGUCGUAACACCACCAACACCACCGGUCGUAACGCCACCGACACCAACCCCUCCUGUCGUAACACCUCCAACACCACCGGUCGUAACGCCACCGACACCAACCCCUCCUGUCGUAAUACCUCCAACACCACCGGUCGUAACGCCACCGACACCAACCCCUCCUGUCGUAACACCACCAACACCAACUCCACCUAAGCCAGAAACAUGCCCAAUCGACACGUUGAAGCUAGGCGCUUGUGUAGACGUUCUUGGAGGUUUGAUUCACAUCGGGCUUGGUGGAAGUAGCGCCAAGAAAGAGAGUUGUCCGGUUUUGGGAGGCUUAG
rnacentral:lncRNA from 1 species